rnacentral:lncRNA from 1 species
UCCAAGCAAGUGGUAACAUGGACUUGUACAUGGAACAUCCCAAGCGCAAGCAUAGCUGAAGUGAGCCUGUACAAUGAGCUAGUGUAAGUCCCUUCAUUUAAUUUAAUUAGUACUGGCUUGUGUGUAUGAUUUGUGUGAAGUGGCGGAUCCACGAAUUCAAGUUACCAGGGGUGAAAAUUUAACUUAAAAAAUACGAAGGCACUUGCACUCCGAAAAUCAACAUAACUUGAGAAAUGUGAUGCUACAUACACUUUGAAAACCAGCUAAUGAUCCAAAGUAGUUCUAGAUUACAAAACACUAAAUGAUGUAAGCACCAAAAAAACACAAAAUGCAACAUGGUGUACAAGGACUACUAACAUGGUCUGUGCGUUCUUUAAUUAUUCUUUCUCUGGCUGAAAAUAUUGACAUGAAAUUGCACCUAUAACCAGUGCACAAACUGCAUAUCAAUAUAUCUAUCCUGCACAAGUACGCCAAUAGUUUCAAACAACAGAUUAGAAAAGUAUGUCAUGAUACGGGGACUUUCUUGUGGAUGGCCUCGAUGUUUCCUCAAGCCAUGAAAAUGUACUAUAAUUUGCUUCUCCUCAAUUCCUACAAAUCUCUAUGUCUCUCUCAACAUAGCAGAUCAUCAUUACACACUAAAUCCUUCAAUGGGAGCUUGCAAAAUGCUUGCCUUAGAUCCCUCAUUAGACACUAUAUGUUCAUCACCAGAAGCAUGUAGAAUGUUUGCAUCAAAUCCUUCAUUAGCAGUUUGUUCAUUAGACACUUCAGGCUCAAGAACAACAUGAGCUUGUAUGAUUGCACUCGAAACUUGAUUAGAUACAUCAGGUUGAGUCAGUUCAAUUUUGAUUGGGGGAGUUAUAAAAUAAGCAAAAAUUGGUUUCAUUUUCUCAUAGAUCCCCUACAUAAAAUAAGCAGUUUUACAAUACCGUCAGGUUUAACUAUUAGCCAGAAAUUGAAUAGUUGAAUUAGAUAUAAUCAGGGAUGUGAUGUACCUACUCGUUGUGCAUGCCGCUCUUGUCAGCUGCGACUGUCUGUGCUGCCGCCGCUGCCUCCAAUGCAGGCUACACCCAGGGUUGGAUCAUCAUCUUCUUGUCCUUCCAUUCGCUUGAAGCUUGGCGACCGACGUCCAACGAGCGUGCGAGGAAGUGCUGUGUUGGUCUGUCCAACGGUGGCUAGGUUAGGAGCGAACUAGACUGGAGGCUGGAGCAAACGAAUUUGGAUUUUUCCUGAUGUUGAUCAAUAUGGGAAGCGCUCUUUUGGGCCGCGGGCCUGCUAUUGGGCCUGCCUUACACUUACGUUAUUGGCCCAUCCAAAUUGAAACAUUUUUCUUCAUUUUUUACAUUGGCUGCUAGUGUGUUUGGACAAAAAAAUGCCUGGGCAAACCUGGAUGACUCAAACUAGGUGCACACUUUCCAGCCACUCGAGGCGGCCGCCCAUACUAGCCCCUAUGGUGGCAUCGCCCUUUUUGCGUGUAUGAUUGGGGUAGUGAAAAAUAUUCCAGUGGCGCUUUAGAUUUACACACAGAAUGGUUGAAUUGCAUGUUUCUAUGAACUGAGUUCGCCAAUAAUGUGAAGGAUGCCAGUCUUUUCAUCCCAUUGUAGAUUGCUUAGAUCUCGAUAUGGCAAAUGUAAUCGCAUGAAAUAUACAGUAAAAGCCAGUGUGAUGUGUGUUCCUACAACUAGUCUGACAACCCGUCCUCAUAUAGCAUAUCAAGGACGCACCAUCUUAUCAGAUUAACCAUUCGACUUACCAAUGCAGUGUGAGAAGAAAGAAGUAUUGGGACUGCAUAUCGAAGCAAUUGAUGCCAUGGACUCCUUCGUAGAACCUUUUAAGCGAAAAAGAAGUUGCAGUGUGCCUAUACAAAGAGCUAGCGUAAGUUCAGUUACCUGCUUCUCGGAAUUUUAGUUAGCCACUUAUUGCAAAAUUGUUCAAUUAUGUUGCUUGGGUUAACUUAGUUUGCUACUGAUUACAUAAUGCCAUAGCCUGUUAAUCCUAUUAUAGUCGGCGCCUAUCUAUGUGUUUGAUACUUACUCUUAAGAAUUACCUAUUUGCCUGAACUUAAAUAGCUACUUAAGCACAUAGAUAGUUGCUCAUAUGUACUUCUAGGGUGCAGUAGAGUUCACGUGUAAUUUACAUUCUGAUACCCUGUUUUUUUAAAUGGUUUGCUGUUAUCACUUGUAGCACUAGCAAUAUUUGCAUAUUCAUACAUAGACAAUUGUCAUGUUUAUACGAGGGGCACUCGUCUUUUUAACUUAUAUAUACAGCCAGUCUAUUCUGAUAAUAUUAUUAGAAUAACUAUCCUGAUAACACUUCCGCACUGCACGCUCAAUGCAAGUGCACGUCAUUGUUUGAACCAAGUGUGCUGCAGUACUGAGGCGAGUGAACUUCCCGUGGCAAAAAACUGCAAACAGUGUUUUUUCUGGUACUGUUUUCGCUCUAGUUUUUUAACCAUUUGUUGCAACAAGGCGUGUAAUAUAUCGUUGAAAAACUAUGGAUUAGGCGCAACUUCGCCAUGUUGAACACUUUCUGAGAUUCCUCACGGUUUAAGAGCAUUUUUGAAAAUGGUGCGGCCCACAACGAGUGGCAGCGAGCGUUUUUUCGCAUUUUUUCUAAACCGCUCGUCGGAAUGAAGCAAAUGAUACACCGUUGGAUAGAUAUCGUCGAGGUGCAUCUUUUUCAUAUCUAUUUAUUUCUCUAAUUCAUUACGGUUUAAGAGCAGUUUCAAAUUUACUAAAUCGCGGAAUUCUGUUUUUCAUUUUUUUUCAAAUUUUCGGUACUGUUUUCGCUCUAGUUUUCUAACUGUUUGUCGAAACGAGGCGUGUAAUAUGUUGUUGAAAAGCUAUGGACGAGGCACAACUUUGAUAUGUUGAAAUGGUUUUAAGAUUCCUUGCGGUUUUAAGUUAAUUUUGAAAAUCGUGUGGCGGACGAUAAGUGAAAGCGGCUGUUUUUCGCAAAAAUUUUACAAACCGGUCGUCGAAAUGAUUCAAAUGAUAUGUCGUUGGAAAGAUAUCGACGAUACACAACUUUUUCAUGUAGAACACUCUCUCUAAUUCCUUACGGUUUAAGAGCAGUUUUAAAUUUACCGAAAUGCGGACACUCUAUUUUUCACGACACCCAAAUCGACGUGGGUACUUCAUCUGACUGAAACCACACUGCAUCGGACGAAAAACCACACUGCAUCAGACGGGUAAGAGAACUGCAUGGUUUCUUUUAUUCAAAUGUAAUUUUUUGAAGGAUGAGAAAGUAGAGUGCACUUCACAUCGGGUGUAAAUGAACCACAACACUAUCAAGAAGUGAACCGCAUUACUUUUUUUCGCUUCCGUAACAAUUUUUUGCACUUACAGGAUGAAAAACAUCACACGUCCGACCGCACUGCUUCAGAAUGAAAAACACACUGCAUCGGACGAGCAAGCGAGCUGCAUAAUUUCUUUUACCGGACGUUAUUUUUCUCAUGCGAGUUUUUGUUGUCUUUUUUUCAACAAUUUUUCAUGAAUGAGAGUUCACCGCAGAGACGAGGGCAAAUGAACCGCAACACAUGUUGAAGUGAACCUCAUUGCUAUCUUUUUGUUUCGUUUAAAAAAACCGCACUUUCAUGUUGGGCACAAGUGAACACCAUCACUCUCAAAAGUGAACCACAUCCGAGAACCAAAAGCGCUGCACGUGUUAAUGUAGUCGACUAGUUUUUGAGACACACAAACAAAUUGCACUUCAUACAUAGGUAUAAUGAGCUGCUACACAAAUUGCAUUUUGUUUGAAAUGGACUGUAUUGAAAAGUCCUUCCUAGUGGACUUUUUUCAAGACCAAAGUGCAACGUAUUUGCAUGAUUUUCUAAAUGCAUUAUUUGUUUUAAAAGGUGUGUACUAAAAACUCGAAUCUGCAUACAACUUGAAUCUGGACUGCAUUGUCGAGAGUAAGAAACUACAUGGUUUUUUCAUACAUCGUCAUUUUUAGUCUAAACAAGAAAAUGGUGCAAAAUGAAGUACAAAUGAGUUUUUAAUAAUUACAACGUUUUCUGUGUAUUUUGCACAAUAAUAACUCCAUCGUCAUACAUUUUUUUGAGAAAAAUAACACUCAAUCCAUGGAUCAUCUACACCCGUGUACAGCACAAACUGCAUAGUCGUCGAAGUGGGUUGCAAAACAAUGUGCCAAAAAUUCGUGGCGGAGGAUUGCCGGUGACUGGACUGCAAGUGCAGAUGGGGAACAAGGAGGGCAUCGGGCGUACUGCAUGGGCCCGUGGUCAGAACUACAAGCCGCCGUUGAUAGAGCCGCAUGCCACCCUGCAACGAAAGAGCAACCUACACUGCUCACCGUUGGCGAAGAACAAACAAUGAAGAAUUGGAUCUUGGGCAUUUUUUGUGUACCUGCAGUGUGGAUGGAGGCGCCAAGGAACUUCAUGUUGAUGAAGAGAGAGCUACACGCGAGGGGGUUCGCCGAUCUGCACAUCAUGGUCGUCGGUGAUUGCGAGCGCUGAUAGUAGGAGAGGGAAAGGAUUGCAAGCACAGGGUCGGUGGACUGCACGGGAGGAGCAACCCAAUUGCAUGUGAAUACAAAAUGAACCUCGCCAGCGUCGAGAUGUAACAAACCGCCGCCCAGUGGAAGCUCGGGGGGAGGAAGGGGCUUAUGGGCUAGGGGAAGCAGAGGAUUCCGGAUCCGAUGGGUCCAUGGAGACGGGCUGGUUGGCGCGUCAGGGCUCCGGGAAGCAGCGAGUCGUCGGAGUAGGAGGCACGGGCAUCCGGCGGUGCAGCACUCCACCUGCAUCGGGCAGCAGCGGGACUCCCUAGAUCCGGAGCAGCCGCUGAUGGCGAUGGUGGAUCCACGCCGUAUCUGAGGCGGGAUAGGCGAUGGAGGCGGGGAGGCACGCGCUGGUGGCCGCAUAGAGAGGGCGGCGCGGGUCGGCGCACCGGCGUAGAAGGUGGAUGGGUGGGAGGUGGGAGGCCACUGGUGGUGCCCGUGGCUAUGUACGGGGCCGGGACGGCCGGAUCCGGCGCGGGCAAGGCCCUGGUCACCGAUUGGGUGCCAGCGGCGGACAGAUCGGGGACUGCUGGUGGCCACGGCCGCGGUGGUGCUAUAGGUGGCUGCUCGUGGCGGUGUGAGCCCAGGCCGGCGGUGGGGUGGGUCGACGUUAGAACAAAGGUGCGGUUCGAGGCGAGAGAGGCGACGGGGCGGCGCGAGCUCAAUGGCGCGACAGUGGCGGAGGAAGGUGGAGCGAGGUGGGGCGGCGGCGUGGGAGAGGGAGGUGGUGGUGCCGCGCAGUGGAAGGAGGCGGUGGUGCGGCAUGGUGGAGGGAGAUGGCGCGGCAGAAGGAGGUGGAGGGAUUAGGGUUCUGGUCGUGCGGGUGGUGGGUUGGGGUGGUGCGGGGCUGCGGGCACUGGUCGGGGACGGGUUGACCUGGGGUAGAAAGUAGGAUAAGGUGGGAAGUGGUGGCGGGUGUGGGUGGUUCUGAUGCGGUUCGGUUGAGUGGUGCGGGACGGUGCUGAAGUGUUGUCAGAAUAAGGGGUAGGUGUUAUUAGAAUAAGGUCUUAAGGGGUGUUAUCAUAAUAGACCCACCCUAUAUAUAUAUAUAUGCUGGAAUCAUUUUACUUACAUCAAAGAAUUUUACAGACAUUUGUGUUGUGGGUAAACGGUACAAACUCGUUACUUUAAUACGUUGCCAAGAACUUGUUAGUUUUACUAGUUCAUGUGUAAUUAAAUGUGUUGCCAAAACUAGUUAGUUUACUAGUUUGAUGUUAGUUUCUUAUGGCUCUUGCAACACUUUAUUUAUGAUUGCAAACAUUCAAGUUUGCAGGAUCCAACUGAAACUCCGUUGGCACAAUAGGUAUGUUUUCAGAAACUUCCUUGUUUACCUGGUUUGCUAUUGUAACUUGUGGUUGUAAUCAUCUAACCAACUUCAAGUUUUCAGGAUCCAAUUAGAAGUCCAAUUGCACAGCAGGUACAUUUUCAAAAAUAUAUUUGUGCAACAGGUUUGCUGUUGUAACUUGUUGCUCUAAUCAAGUUACUGACUACGCAACCUUUCAGGAUCCAAGAGAAACUCCAAUGCCACAACAGGUUCCUUUUCCAAAUCAUGUUUGUUUAACUUCUUUGAUGCUGCAAUCGGUUGCUCUAAUCACAUUACUGGCUACUCAACUUUUAGGAUCCAAGAGAAACUCCAAUGCCACAAUAGGUACUUUUUGCAAAACUUGUUUGUUUAACUGCUUUGCUGUUGCAACCGGUUACAAUGAUGUUAAUAAGUACUUUUCAGCAUCCAAUUGAAACUCUUUAAUUCCUUGUUUGUUUAACUAGUUUGCUAUUCUAACUCCCAGUUGAGAUGUUUUGCUAACUUCAACAUUUCUGAAUCCAAUUGGAACUUUAAUGGCAAAAUAGGUUAGCCCAAGAUCAAAGAGCGAGGUCCCCAUGGACGUUGUAUCAUCCCACAACAGUGGCACCAGCCAAAUCGUGCAUCAUGAAUUGCCAACUGCUAAUUCUCUAGAGGCUAAACUAUUGGUAGAAAGAGAUUGUGCUUCUGCACUUAGAGAUGAAGUUGACAUGUUGAGGAAGCAUACACUACAAUCACAAGUUGUACUCAAGACAACCCUUAAAUAUUUGGUGCACUUCAAAACGAAGCAAGCUGAGACUGACCGCAUUGUUAAGGUCCUGGAGGAAAAAGCGAAAUUAAAUUCCCACUUGGCAAAUCAUAGGUGAAAUGUUGUUUCCAUCAUUGAAUAGCCUUUAUGUUGUUUGUUCAUGUAAUCGAUCAAACCAUUUUUUAGAGAUCAUGUAAUAAUUGUUUUUUGUUUUUUGGUUUGUAAUUUUUUUGUGAGCACAAGUCUAUAUUAAUUGAUAAGACUCUGAGACAUUUCAUUUUGAUUGCUGUGCUGGACCUACAUAUAUGCUAAUCGGGCUGAAUGUGCAUUCAGCAAUAAUAGUAGUAUGGAUGGUCCUUACAUGGCACGCAUCUAAAAAGGCCAAGAUGUUGUACUAGCGACCUGGCUUAUGUAUGUUAGUUGAUAUUAUUGAUCCAUAUACUCUAUAAGUGUUUAUAUGUCUGUUAGUUUUGUACAUUAUUGGUUGAUUGACUUAGUAUUCUAAAUCUUGAGACAUCACUUGUGUACAUAUCUAAAUGGGAGUACACAUUAUGCUGCGUGUGACAGUUGAGUUGGACAUAAAGUGGUUUCAAAUAUUCGAAUUCGCCUUAAACUGGAUUCUAGCUUCUGAAUUCGAGUAUCGGCAUUUGUAAAUCAUAUUCAUAUAUGACAGUGGAAUACAUCUUUGUCGUGCUUUUGAAGAUAUAUAAAAACAUAAAAAUGAUUUAUAAAGAUUCGUAUAAGAAUACAAAAUGGAUUUGAAUUUAGUUGCCAGGGUAAACGUGGAUGCUUAUUGUCCCAAAAUUUGAAAGAAGCAGCAAAAUAUCCGCUCCCAUGUCGGUGCCCGAAGCCAGUGUUUGGGAGAUGGAAAUUACUGUCUACCCCUUACGCGGACAAUCCAUCGGCCUGAUUUCCGCUGCUCUCAAUAGGGCUAGGUUAGUAACUUCAAUUAGACGUGACACGACCGCCUCUAAGCCCAUUCCGACACAGUGGCCGCCAAACAUGGGCGGCAAAACACAUUUGAUUCAAGCUUGUCCGAAAGACCUCUGUCUCUCCCUCCAUUUCCCCAUUCAUAUACGAUGGGAAGCAAAACAAACUCGACUCAACCGAAAUUGAUGUAAGCAAAUAUUUUCAAUCGGGGCAGGCUUGUAACUUCACUCAGAUGUGACACAACCCCCCUUCCUGUCAGCCCCGUUCAUACACCAUGGGCACCAACCGUGGGCGCCAAAACACCCUCUGCUUGCCCGAAAUCACUCUAGGAAAAUAUUGGGGAGAUGCGAGAUUACCGUCCUAUCCCCAACCAAUGAGACGUCCAAAUUUUGAACGGGGGCUAAGUUGGUAACUUUCCCAUAUUUUAGACAAGCGCAUCCCAAAAACAUGGUUCCCCGUACCUCUCCCUCCAUUUUUACAAUCAUACACCAUCCGCGCUAGAACACCAUCCCCACACCAGCCUCCUCCGUCCGCCACCCCAUCCAUCACCACCGUCCUCCACCCCAUCCAUCGCCACCGUCCUCCACCAUGCUGGAGUGCCUACCAAGACCGCGUCGUCCACUACUAGAGAUGGACAUUUCUCAUCCAAGGCGACGGACCAGGAGCCUUGCAUCACAUCCUCUCACUUCAUCGGCGACAUCGUCCUCUUUGUCGGGGCUGCUCACACGACCUUCUCGUCCACCAAAACGGGACUUAUCCCCCGAUGCACCGGUCUACCAUCGCAGAUCUGCUUCAACGCCACCGACAGCCAUCGAACCCCCGAUGCCUACACAGUGCCACAAGAGAGAUGGUACUUCAUAUCUGCUCAACUUUUUGAUCUCAACCAGAAAGUAGAUCGUAACUUGGUUACUGUACUUUCUUUUUAGCUCUUAGAAUUUAGUUCUUAGUUCGAAGCAAACAAUGGAUGCUAAAUAGCAUUUCUGCGGUUUGCAGCUUUAAAUCUGCCAUGGCACAGUCAUAAUAGGGUUUAAUUGAUCAUGUUGGUUCCCUGGUGGUUUCUUUAAUAGAAGCCGGAGGGGAAACCCUCCUUUGCUCAAAAAAAGCUUAGGGUUUCCCCCUUUUAUGAUCACUAUACGAUCAGCAUACGUGCUUCGUGUCAUAAUAGUACUGCUCCAACCAUCAAGCUAAACAAGCUUAGUUGUUCAAAUAUGAAUAUGAGAUUAUUAAAGCAGAGUCGUUUAAUUGGUAAGCUAAAUGUUCCUAAUUUAGUUUUCAAAAAUUCAUGUACGCCACUCGAGGAUGUAUCUACAGGGUGCCCACGGUGGGCCGCAGCCCACCCUGGGAUUUUGGGUCAGCCCAGGCCUCGAUCCUUCUCCAUUCUGAUGCGCUUCUGAUAUCUCCUCGCCCCAGCCACCUGCCUCGCUGAUGACUUGCCAUCCCUGGACGACAUGACUCUAGGAGGAGACGCCGGACUAACCGGAGGUCAGAGUCGCUCGCCCAACAGCGUGACCGCUGCCAGGGAGCACCGCCGUGCCUACCUUCCCAGUACGUUCAGGACUCAGGUGUGCAGCAGCCACUAAGCCAACCAGAUUUAUCCUGAGAUACGUCCUCAACACUCAACAGCUACUCGUCAUCACCCAUUUUCUAAUUGAUUCAUUACUCAUUAGGCAGGAUUAUCAUUAGGGUUUGUUGUGUACUGAGUGCUACCUACACUUAAUAGUUCAGAUGUAUUUCGGUAAUCUUUAGUAGCUGUAAAGUUCACUGGGUUCCAAAAUUCUGGCCCUAGGAACAUACACUAGUCAUUUUGGAUUGUUGGUCAUGGUGACAUUGACCUAGAUUACUACUGCAGGCCAGGUUUGUUGACAAUUUUACUUGUCUUUCUUACUCGUUCGAUGUGAUAUCCAAUUAUUCAUGUCAAUUAGUUGCAAAGAAUAAUUGCUAGACCAACUUCUUGAUUCAGAUUUUGGACGGUCUCUUACUGCAGUUACAAUUCUGCAUACUUGUCCUAGUAAUCUCACAAGUAAUGAUUGAUUCACUACCUCUAUGCUUGCCUUGUCAUAUUUGUUGUCAAUAUUCUUUUAGGGUGGACCACCCUAUUUCAAAAUACUGGAACCACAGACAUGAGUGAAUAGUAUUUCUCUAUGUGAUCUCUCCCAUCAUGUGUGGGCAACGAACACUGCAUUAUAUAGAAAGAAAGUGUCAUUUCCACCUUUUACAUAGACUAUACAAUCUGCCAGCACUACACCCUAAAAGCUAAACAUUGUUCCACUCAUAAUUCCUUAGUUUAUUUGUUCAGAUACGAAUUUGAUAUGAUUCUAAUGUUCCCACUUUAGUUUUGAAUGUGUGUCUGCCUGUUAUAGAGACAUAAGAGGUUUGUAUUUCUGUGUUUGGUCUGGUCGGCGCGGUUGGGGGUGAACUUUGCAUAUGCAGGGGUUUGUAGGGAGACACUCUUUGAGUUGAAUCCACAAUGCAUUCCAUAGAUAAUUUGAGUACUUUUAUGUUUUCAUGAAUCUCAGAUGUUGCACAACAUCAUAAUGAUCAUGUGCUCGCACGCAUGAAAAGAAUAAAGCAGAACAAUGCCAUAGUUGUCAAACUUGGCAUUAAGGGACUGAAAUCAAGUCUGGAUGCAAUGCAAUGCAAAUGCUCUCCACCUACAUAUUCAUGCUUAGAAUAUGAUCCUAACUGUGAUUAUGAGAUAAAGGGAGACCUAUGUCAAUGUAGCUCCCUAGUGGAGGAGUCAGAGGCAUAUGCCCUAUCUUAUUCACCCAUCAAGGUGCUCGCUGUAACUUUCGAAGGUUAUAUUGGUCGCACAUAUCUUGCAAUUGAUGCUUUGCAUUGCUUCUACUUUGUUGCACUGCCAUUAGCUUAGAUAACACAUUGUGUAUGUGCAUACGCCCUUCCUAUCCAUUUUCAGUACAUAUUCCAUCUGUCAUCAUACCAUAUUUAUCCAUUGAAAUGUUGUUAUUGUGUAUCAGACGUUCAAAAGGAAGAGGGCAAUUGCUGAUCGCGGAGGAGCACGAACAAAGUAUUUGGAAAAGGUAGUGACACAUGAUAAAUGAAAUAGCCCAUUAGGUGUAGUUGCAAUAUCACCAGACCCAGAAAAUGCGGCCACAACUCUAGCAGAGUCUAGCCCUACUACAUUGGCCAUAUCUAAUGCCCCAACUCAGCAGAUCCCAACUACUACAAACAGUAGGAUGGUGCCAGUUGACAUAACACCACCUCUAUGAUGCAAAAACCCCAUUCCAGCAAAGAGUACACCAAAUCCAGUUGCCAAAUCCCUUUUCAAACAAGAGAGAGCCCCAAUUGCAGCAAAUAGGACUCAUGUUCCACUUCUUCCCAGUUUACAAGACGAAGCUUAUAUUGUUGUCAGGAACUUUAUGUGCAUCUUUCCUUCACGGAAAGAUUAUACCACAGACAAAGAACAAUUUCCAAUCUUCCUCGGCAACUUACGCAUAAGUAAUGUACUAAUGUUAUUCAUGGUAAUUACUGCAUAUGUUUCUGCUGACAGAAGACACAAGAUUUCAUUCUUUCAAAUAGGCGAGGACCAAACUGGAUUGUCAACACAAGCAAGGGUUGGUUGCGCUUUUCAAGCACUUGUUGAUGAAGUAUCGUUCCUACUUGAGGUAAGCACACUUCGAUGGCAAGCCUCUAAACGAAAUUUCUUUAAAGUCUCCGGUGCUACAUUUAUCAGAUAGUGACUGGAAUAAUCUUGUUACACAUUGGUCUCGGCUACAGCAUAAGGUACUGUCUAUGAUAUCACAUCACAAUUUGAACUACAUUUAUGCAUGUGCACAACGUCUCACUUGUACGAAACUGUUUGCAGAAGAACAUUCAGUCUCAAGGGACCACAGAAUCUCGCAACUAUACUACACACUGCAUUGCUCUUGUGAGUACCUCUUGCCCUGUAUGACCAUACUUACUUUCAUAGCUGGUAGAUUAUGUAGCAUCAGUGCACAUGUUAUCCUCGUUAUCGUCCAUUUGGUGGACAUUGUAAGAUCCGUAUGGACUCUUACAUAAAUUUAAAAUCAACCCAAUGCUUUUGAAGUGGUUUAGCUCUACAGUCCUCUUGUAAGGACUGAACAUCUUCUAUCAUUGUACUUACAUUAACGACUACUCCCUCCGUCCCAUAAUAUAAGAACAUUUUGUAUAGUACACCAGGUUCAAAACAGUCUUAUAUUAUGGGAAGAGGGAUUGGUUCAUUGUGUAGCAUUCUGCAUCUUAUCUCCCUCGCCAACCAUUUACUAAAAAGAUAUCACAUCUAUAUUUAAUCUUACCAAAAAGUUGAAUACAUAGACAAUGCCAGUGCAGAAGUGUAGCCCAUUGCUCUUGUUAGUACAUUUUAUCCUGUAAUGCUUGUACUUCCAGGGAUUGGUAGUUCAUUAUGUAGCAUCAAUCUGCAUCUUAUCUUCAUUAUCCUCUACCCCUUCCAGUAUUACCAUAUCUAAAAGUACUCUCUACAAAAUGUAGAGUACAUGCAAUGCUUAUGAAGAAUAUUAUGUGCUGAAAUUCUUGAGUUAUCCUUCCCUUGACAUGGAGAAGGGCACUAUAAUGCCGGUGUUAACUGUUAAUCUAAGUAAGUCCUUCUAAAUCAAUUAUCCUCAACUGCUUUUUAAUUUGCUCAUACUCCCUAUCGUUAACUGCUAUUUAGUUUGUUGUUUCUAUCAAAAUGCAUGUUCGCAACAACCUUAAGUUCCAAGUUUCACUUGUAAAACCAAAUUCCGUAUUCAUACCAUGCACAUUACUCAAUACUCCCUAUAUGUAUGCUUGUUUUUGUGGAUCUAUAAUCCAGUGUGUGGUGAAGCAGCCCACAUUUGCACCUUGUCAUCUCCUAUUUUAUCUUACUGAUGUGGCUGAUGAUAUGAACAACAUGCCAUGCACAUUAACCAAAAUAGAUACAAUGAUUGUCUUUGCAUCUAUGCUUGUUUUGUUGACAUGGUACUCCAGUAGUGUGGUGAAUCUCCCCGCAUUAUGAAACCAAAAUAUGCUAUUGAUAUUUUGAAGUUACUCUUUAUUUUCUAAUUUGAAAUUGGAUGGAAUUGAUAGCACAGUUAUCAUCUUUGUUUGUACAUGUGCAAAACCUGUCAUCUCUCUGCUUGUUUCAGGGUGAUAUGCUUGAUGGCAUGCACGAGUCUGUUGAAGGCUGUGAGACAAACCCAACAUAUAUUGUAGCAAAGAAGGCAAAACAUCUUGAAGACAGCGAGAGAACACCAAAGUCAUGUGUUGAUGUAGUGUUCAAGUUACUUGAGGCUAGUAGUCAGACAAGCUCACAAAAUUCGAUGUCUGAAUCAAUUCGACUUCUUCAGUCCCAAGUUCUAGCCGAAAUGCAUUCUGCAACUCAACUUCGACUUGAAGUCCUAUCUCUAAGAAAGAUUGUGGAGAACACCAAUUAGAACCUCAUUGCUAAACAGCUACACCUGGAAGCUAUGACCGACAUGCUAGGCCGGUCUCACAACCUUGCUCAGCAGCUUGCGCAGCAGUUCCCAUGCAAGGCAAACCUUUCUUGAACUGGCUUGGAAGUGGUCUUCGUUUAGUAAUAUUUUGUUACGCUGCAAUGGCGCCUAGUUAUUGUAAUCUUCUUUUUCGUUGCGCUUUACGAUCACUGGUGGCGAACUUCGAUGCCCAAUGAAUAUACCAUAAAUCCUUUAUUGUAUAGUUUAGGUUUAUUCUAAGUUACUAUGCCAUAAUUUCUUUCUUGUAUAGAGUAGGUUUGUUCUUAAUUCCUACUAGUUACUGCUAUCAUUCACUAUCUGGAAAAAACGGAGAAAGUCUGAUGUAGUCGACUGGGCCCAAAACAUUCGCGUUUAACUGGCCUGCUUUUUAGCAGGCCGCAAUUGAGCUGGCCUGAAACUUUCUUGGGCCUAAAAGGCCAUUGGGGCCUUCACACUUUGCGCUAGCCCACAACUUACACAGGCCUAUAUUUGGCACAAAGUUUAGUUGGGCCUUUAGUGGACCCAGCGCUUAGUUGGGCCCAGGUAGCUUUGUGCCAUUAAGAGGCUGAAUAUUCUGCUGGCUUGUUAUGGCCCUGAAGAACCCAUGGGCCUUUAGCAGGUUGAAAUGCAUGUUGUGCCUCAAGUUUCACUAGUCGUCGACGAGCCUUUAGCAAGCUGAAAUGUAGACCAGGCCUUUUUAGGCCUAGUUAUAUGACAGGUCAUUACUAGGCCGAAACAUAUCUCGGGCCUUAGUUGGCCCACUGAUAUCAUGGGCCUUUAAGAGGCCAAAAGCUUAGUACAGGCCUCAAUGGGCCGAAUUAUAUGACAGGCCUUUAACAGGCCCAAAAGUCACGUUGGGUUGAACUGUUACAACCUUUAUCACGGGCCGUUAGAGUGCCGGAUGUUGGGUCGGACCAUGCAUGGCCCAUGGCAGCACGGGCCAUUCCCAGGCUGAAAUGGGCCCAUGUCUACAUCGGGCCUCUAAUAGGCCGAAAUUUCAUGGGGCCGUAAUUGGGCCCAAAUAUUCGGCGAACAAUAAACGGGCCAAAUGUCGGUGCAACAAACCCCGGGUCUGUUGCCUAGACCGUGUAGAGGCACGGGAGCAAGUUUAUAGCACCAAGGUCAAGCCAAAGUACAAGAAAUCAAGAUCUUCAAAGGAUCCACGUGUAGAUCGAGAGGACCAAGACCUAGCCAGAGAAGUAAGAAACCACCAGAGAAAAUCCUCCCUUGCCGGGCAGGCGAGCCCAGCAAGGACGGAUUACCCCCGCAAGAAGACCUCCAAAACACCCCGGUAGGGCCUACCGGGAUUGCGGAGACGGAGCCACCUCACUAAACCACUUCACCACGAUGCACGUCGUCGAUCAGUGCGGUGUCAAGCCACAAAAUGUAUAAAUGGCAGCCAUCUACCACAUGGCAGCCUCUUUCUACAGGAAAUACGUACAUACGACACCCGUCCUGCGACGUGUCAAGCGAGCGGGCGCGAAGCUUGCAAAACGGCUUGGCAAGGCUUGCCGGGCAAGCGACGAUGUGACGUUGAGCGGUGCAUUUAAUGCGCUUUGUCAUCCUGUAGAGUUACGUAUGAUAGCACUAUUUGCAUAAUGACUAAUUUGCCACUGUGGUGACCCCUUAACCUAUAAAAGGAGGCCCGAGGCAACCUUACAAAGGGUUGGACCCUAGACUAGCAAGUCCACCCCCUCACAUUUCAGACGCAUGUAGCCGUUUCGCCCUUAGGUAACCCUGCCGGGUGAACAUGCUACGACCACCACCAUUUUUCCACCAUCAAUCCACCAAAGUAGGAGUAGGGUUUUAUGCCUCAUGGCGUCCCGAACCUGGGUAAAACUGCCUGUGUGAUCCCUACAGUGCUGCCCGACGCUCCUCUGCUCUUUGUGCAAUGUGACAUCCCCUCGCCGAACCAGCAAGGGACCUUUGGUCCCAUAGGUGGUCGUGGUUCCCCGCGACAUCUUUGGCAUGCCAGGUAGGGGGGUCACUUGCGCGAACCUAAAGGUGUGAGCAGUGCAUCAUCUUCAUCUUCGACGAUGUCAUCGACCAUGGCGCCCAAGAAGAAACCUGGUGCUUCAGCUCACCCGUCCACCUCAAAGGCUCCGCCGCCCACAGCCACCAAUGCUACGGGGGAUGCGGAGGCUCGCGAGGAUGUGGACACUGUUGGGGGUGUGGUCGGAGUAGGCGGCACCAUCACCACCUCCCCCGCGGCCGGAGCAGGAGACACCGGAGGCACUACACCACGGUAGAGUUUAUGUGACACACUUCUAUGGACAAAGGUCCAUUAGUCUCCACAAAAAAACCAUGUGUCAGCAAUGCUAAACACCUAUUUAGACAGAUUAAGUGUCGGCAUAGGUAGGGUGUGCGUUGACUUACCAUGUGUCGGCAUAGGUAGGGUGUGUGUUUACUUACCAUGUGUCGGCAUAGGUAGGGUGCGCGUUGACUUACCAUGUGUCAGCAUAGGUAGGGUGUAUGCUGACAGAAAAAGUGUCGGCAAGUGAACUUCUAUCGGCAAUACCUUUCCCCACAGCAAGUCCUCCAACUGUUUUAUCUCCUGUCAGCAUAUGUGUUAGCUACAAUUUAUCUGUCGGCAAAGGUACCAUAUGCCAACAGAUUGAUGUGUCACCAAAACUUGACUAUGGUGUAGUGAGGAGAGCAGCAUCAGCAACAUCCCGGUGGCCAUGCCCCACGAGGUACGGGUGAAGGGAUUGUCCCAUCCACGCCCCUUCCCCUCGCUGAUGGGCACAGUCACAGUGAUGGCGCCCGGUCCGAGGCAAAUCGCCGCCCUUCGGCCGCCCCCGCUAAUGUCUGCUAGACUACGUUGGUAUUUCCCCAAAGAGGAAGGGAUGAUGCAGCACAUCGACGGUAGGUAUUUCCCUCAGUGAUGAGACCAAGGUUAUCGAACCAGUAGGAGAACCAAGCAACACUACGUAAGCAGCACCUGCACACAAAUAACAAAUACUCGCAACCCAACGUAUUAAAGGGGUUGUCAAUCCCUUACGGGUAAUGGCGCCAGAAAUUGGCAGACGGACGUGAUAAAAAUAUGAUAGAUAGGAUAAAUAGAUCUCGAAUAAAAUAAAUUGCAGCAAGGUAUUUUUAUAUUUUUGGUUUAAUAGAUCUGAAAAAUAAAAGGAAAGGAAAAUAGAUCGCAAAGGCAAAUAUAUUAAGGAAGAGACCCGGGGCCCAUAGGUUUCACUAGUGGUUUCUCUCGAGAAAAAUAACAAAUGGUGGGUGAACAAAUUACUGUUGGGCAAUUGAUAGACUUCAAAUAAUCAUGAUGAUAUUCAGGCAAUGAUCAUUAUAUAGACAUCAUGUCCAAGAUUAGUAGACUGACUCCUGCCUGCAUCUACUAUUAUUACUCCACACAUCGAUCGCUAUCCAGCAUGCAUCUAGUGUAUUAAGUUCAUGGAGAAAAGGAGUAAUGCAAUAAGAAUGAUGACAUGACGUAGACAAGAUCUAUUUAUGUAGAAAUAGACCCCAUCUUGUUAUCCUUAAUGCCAAAGAUACAUAUGUGUCGGUUCCCCUUCUAUCAGUGGGACCAAGCACCGUAAGAUCAAACCCAUCACAAAGCACCUCUUCCCAUUGCAAGAUAAGUAGAUCAAGUUGGCCAAACAAAACCCAAAUAUCAGAGAAGAAAUACGAUGCUAUAAGCAAUCAUGCAUAUAAGAUAUCAAAGAAGACUCAAAUAACUUUCAUGGAUAAAAAGAGAUAGAUCUGAUCAUAAACUCAAAGUUCAUCGGAUCCCAACAAACACACCCCGAAAGAAUUACAUCAUAUGGAUCUCCAAGAGACCAUUUUAUUGAGAAUCAAACGAGAGAGAGGAAGCCAUCUAGCUACUAACUACGGACCCGAAGGUCUACAAAAGACUACUCACGCAUCAUCGGAGAGGCACCAAUGGACAUGAUGAACCCCUCCGCGAUGGUGUCUAGAUUGGAUAUGGUGUUUCUGGAACUUGCGGCGGCUAGAAUUAAUUUUGGUCGACUCCCCUAGGGUUUCUGGAAUAUUGGGGUAUUUAUAGAGUAAAGAGGCGGUCCGAGGGCACCCGAGGUGGGCACAACCCACCAGAGCGUGCCUGGCCUCAAGGGGUGCCCUGGUGGGUUAUGCUCCGCUCGGAGCACCCCCUAGGUGCUUCUUCCGCCCAUUGGAUGUCUUUUGGUCCAAAAAAUCCAGAAAAAGUUUCGCUGUGUUUGGACUCGCUUGAUCUUGAUUACCUGCAAUGUAAAAACAUGCAAAAAAAACAGCAACUAGCACUUGGAACUAUGUCAAUAGGUUAGUACCAAAAAUGAUAUAAAAUGACUAUAAAAUGAUUAUAAAACAUCCAAGAAUGAUAAUAUAACAGUAUGGAACAAUAAAAAAUAAUAGAUAUGUUGGAGAUGUCUCACCCGCCACAGGCGCGACCGCAGCGUGUGCACCUCCCCCGUAGCGAGUCGACCAGGUUGCUAUGCCGAAUGGAGCCACUGGCGCUCAAGCUCCUUCACCACGUCACCACGCCAUCCAAAUGCCCGCCUGGCAACAGCGAGGACCUGGUGCUGCCGCCGUUGGCACCCAGAAGCCGAGCGACGGGGCGGUCCACAUCAUCAUCACCCAUGCCAAGAAGUUCUAUGGAGGCCAUCGCGCAGGCUCAGCUGCUACUGAGGUUUCCGCCAGAGGCCGAGCAGAUGGACGAGUGGCAUGCCACCAUCCAAAGUCUGCUCAGUUUAAUCGAGGCUGGGGGCUCACAACAAACUGUUCCGCCACGGCCUCCCCAGGCGACAACAACGGCUCGUGCUGCCAGUCGUACGGGAGGGGCCACCCCCACAGUAGAGUCCCCACCACCACAACCGGCAUGAGUGUGGCAGAAUCAAGAACCUGAUGACGUCUCGAUGGCCUCUUCUGACCCUUGAGUACAUCCAGGCCACUGGCAAGCCCCGGAAGACAGGAGGAGGGGACACGCGCGCGUCGUCGUCAAGCGAUGCCGCGAGGACCACCGUCGGACCAACGGGUCCGAUGGUCCCGACGUUGAUGAGCUUGUGCUCGUGGUUGGAGGGUGCCUACCUUUCGAGGUUGGGUGCCCUGCCUUUACUCGUGAGCUGCAGCAAGUCCGUUGGCCGUCCGUUCGCACGUUCAAGCUAGAGAUGCCCGAGAAGUAUGAUGGGAGGCUGAACCCGAUAGAGUUUCUGAGCAUCUACACCAUCGUCGUUCAAGUUGCAGGGGCAGAGAUGAGAAGGUGUUUGGAAACUACUUCCCUUUGGCGCUCAAGUCCAAUGUGAGGUCUUAACUGAUGCACCUGCCGGAGAACUCCAUUUCAUCAUGGGCUGACCUGUGCCAUGAGUUCAUUGGCGCCUUCACUGGCGGCCAUCAAGAACCAGGGCGGCCCAGCAACUUGCAGAUCCUCCGGUAGAAAGAAGGAGAGACUCUCUGGAAGUACUUGCAGAGGUUCAACAGAGUCCAUAGGAACAUCCCAAAUAUCCAUCCAACAGCUGUGAUAGCUGCUUCCAAUCCAAUGUGUGCAACCACAAGAUUCGUUCCAAGAUGAAUGUGCGGUUGCCUAAGACUGUGAAGGAGCUUUACACCUUGGUGGACAAGUGUACUCAGAUGGAGGAGGAAAGGAACUGCUGCCUGGUAUACACAAAGGCAUGUGCUGCACCCACAUUGGAUCACGGGCAUUAGUUGGGAAAGCAUUCCGGCAAGGAUUCUAUUGGCCCACAGCCCUCGAAGAUGCGGUUGAGCUAGUCACCAAGUGUGAAUCCUGCCAGUUCCAUUCCAAAAACAUCCACCUUCUUGCACAAGCUCUUCAGACAAUCCCUCUGUCAUGGUCGUUUUCGGUCCGGGGGCUCAAUAUCCUUGGCCCAUUCCCCCGAGCUACCGGGGGCUUUGAAUUCUUGUUCAUCGCUAUCGACAAGUUUACAAAGUGGUCAGAAGUAGCUGCCGUGAGAAAGGUGACUGCUCAGUCAGCUAUCAAGUUCUUGAAGGAAUUGUUGUGCCGUUUUGGAGUCCCGGCAAGGAUCAUUACCGACAACGGCACCCAGUUCACGAGUCGCGCCUUCAUGCAAUAUGUUCAUGCCCUCAUAAGCAAGAUCUCAUUUGCCUCAGAAUGACACCAAAUCGAGCUACUAGGCAGACUCCCUUCUCCCUAGUCUAUGGGGAGAAGCAGUUAUCCCCACGGAACUCAUUUAUGGGUCACCUCGAGUGAUUGCCUAUGAUGAAGUAGUGCAAGAUCAGCACUGGCGUGACGAGUUGUGCUACUCGAGGAGAACCGUCUCCGGGCUACUAUGCGUGUUGCACGCUAUCAGCAAGCCCUGCGUCGCUACCACAACCGUAGGGUUCAUGCCCAAUGUUUUGAGGAAGGCGACCUUGUCCUUAGGCACGUUUAGUCCGCCAAAGGUACAAACAAGUUGACGCCAAAGUGGGAAGGCCCUUACCAGGUAGUUUGAGUCACCAGACCUGGCGUAGACCGUCUGGAGACUGGAGAUGGCAUUCAAUUGCAAAACUCAUGGAUUAUUGAGCAUCUCCGCAAGUUCUACCCGUAAGGCGCGGCUGUCAGGCCCUACUCGGCAGCCACCCUUUUUUAUAGGCCUUGCCUCAGUUGCAUGUAACCCCUUGUACAAAGCUAGGCGCAGACCCUGAGCAACAAAGAAAUAAACGAAGUGUUGGUGGGGCCCCCGACAAGUUGCAUGCAUUCAUGAGCAUUUCAAGAGCAUUGCAUAAGCAUUGCAUAUGCAUAUAGAUAAGGUCGCAUCUUGCAUCAUUCCCAUCUGCAUCAAGUUGCAGGUUCCUACCAUGAGCUUGGCCUCUAAUGGGAUUUGGGAAGAUGAACCAGCACUGUGAUCUCCGGCAAGCCUGACAGAUAAGUUCUACCUCUUGUCCAUAAGUGUUCUGUAAGCUGAAACUUGUGCAUGAGAAAACCUGGCCACUCUAUGAAACUUAGGUGCUCCCAUCCUUGGACUCAAACGUUACUUUGGCCAGGAUGGUCGCAGUGGCCUUUAUUGAAAAGAUGUUGGCGGGGGGCUAGUGAUACGUCUCCUACGUAUCUAUAAUUUUUGAUUGUUCCAUGCUAUUAUAUUAUCUGUUUUGGAUGUUUAAUGGGCUUAUUUAUACACUUUUAUAUUAUUUUUGGGACUAACCUACUAACCCAAGGCGUAGUGCAAAUUGCUAUUUUUUUGCCUAUUUCAGUAUUUCGCAGAAAAGGAAUAUCAAACGGAAUCCAAACGGAAUGAAACCUUCGGGAGAGUUAUUUUUGGAACAAACGCGAUCCAGGGGACUUGGAGUAGAUGUCAAGAAAGAAGCGAGGCGGCCACGGGGUAGGGAGGUGCGCCUGCCCCCUGGGCGCGCCCCCACCCUCGUGGCCCCCUCGCGGCUCCACCGACCUACUUCUUCCUCCUAUAUAUANNNNNNNNNNNNNNNNNNNNNNNNNNNNNNNNNNNNNNNNNNNNNNNNNNNNNNNNNNNNNNNNNNNNNNNNNNNNNNNNNNNNNNNNNNNNNNNNNNNNNNNNNNNNNNNNNNNNNNNNNNNNNNNNNNNNNNNNNNNNNNNNNNNNNNNNNNNNNNNNNNNNNNNNNNNNNNNNNNNNNNNNNNNNNNNNNNNNNNNNNNNNNNNNNNNNNNNNNNNNNNNNNNNNNNNNNNNNNNNNNNNNNNNNNNNNNNNNNNNNNNNNNNNNNNNNNNNNNNNNNNNNNNNNNNNNNNNNNNNNNNNNNNNNNNNNNNNNNNNNNNNNNNNNNNNNNNNNNNNNNNNNNNNNNNNNNNNNNNNNNNNNNNNNNNNNNNNNNNNNNNNNNNNNNNNNNNNNNNNNNNNNNNNNNNNNNNNNNNNNNNNNNNNNNNNNNNNNNNNNNNNNNNNNNNNNNNNAUAUAUACUCCAAAAACAUCCAGGAGCACCACGAAACUCUAUUUCCACCGCCGCAACCUUUUGUACCCAAGAGAUCCCAUCUUGCGGCCUUUUCCGGAGCUCCGCCGGAGGGGGAAUCAAUCACGGAGGGCUUCUACAUCAACACCAUAGCCUCUCCGAUGAUGUGUGAGUAGUUUACCACAGACCUUCGGGUCCAUAGUUAUUAGCUAGAUGGCUUCUUCUCUCUCUUUGGAUCUCAAUACAAAGUUCUCCUCGAUCUUCUUAGAGAUCUAUUCGAUGUAAUUCUUUUUGGGGUGUGUUUGUCAAGAUCUGAUGAAUUGUGGGUUUAUGAUAAAGUUUAUCUAUGAACAAUAUUUGAUUCUUCUCUGAAAUAUUUUAUGUAUGAUUGGUUAUCUUUGCAAGUCUCUUCGAAUUAUUAAUUUGGUUUGGCCUACUAGAUUGAUCUUUCUUGCAAUGGGAGAAGUGCUUAGCUUUGGGUUCAGUCUUGCGGUGUCCUUUCCCAGUUAUAGUAGGGGCAGCAAGGCACGUAUCGUAUUGUUGCCAUAGAGGAUAAAAAGAUGGGAUUUAUAUCAUAUUGCUUGAGUUUAUCCCUCUACAUCAUGUCAUCUUACCUAAUGUGUUGCUCUGUUCUUAUGAACUUAAUAAUCUAGAUGCAUGCUGGAUAGCGGUCGAUGUGUGGAGUAAUAGUAGUGGAUGCAGAAUCGUUUCAGUCUACUUGUCGUGGACAUAAUGCCUAUAUACAUGAUCAUGCCUAGAUAUUCUCAUAAUUAUGCACUUUUCUAUCAAUUGCCCGACAGUAAUUUGUUCACCCACCGUAAUACUUAUGCUAUCUUGAGAGAAGCCACUAGUGAAACCUAUGGCCCCCGGGUCUAUCUUUUAUCAUAUAAGUUUCCAAUCUAUUUUACUUUGCAAUCUUUAGUUUCAAUCUAUAUCAUAAAAAUACCAAAAAUAUUUAUCUUAUUAUCUCUAUCAGAUCUCACUCUCGUAAGUGACCGUGAAGGGAUUGGCAACCCCUUUAUCGCGUUGGUUGCGAGGUUCUUAUUUGUUUGUGUAGGUACGAGGGACUUGCGUGUAGUCUCCUACUGGAUUGGUACCUUGGUUCUCAAAAACUAAGGGAAAUACUUACGCUACUUCGCUGCAUCACCCUUUCUUCUUCAAUGGAAAACCAACGCAGUUCUGAAGAGGUAGCAAGAAUGAUUUCGGGCGCCGUUGCCGGGGAGAUCUACGCACAAGUCAAGACAUACCAAGUACCCAUCACAAACUCUUAUCCCUCGCAUUACAUUAUUUGCCAUUUGCCUCUCGUUUUCCUCUCCACCACUUCACCCUUGCCGUUUUAUUCGCCCUCUUUUUCCCGUUCGCCUAUUUUUUGCUUGCUUCUUUUGUGCUUGUGUGUUGGAUUGUUUGUCACGAUGGAUCAAGAUAAUAAUAAAUUGUGUGACUCUUCCAAUACUAACAAUAAUGAUUUUAUUAGCACUCCGAUUGCUACUCUUACCGAUGUUGAAUCUUGUGAAAUUAAUACUGCUUUGCUGAAUCUUGUCAUGAAAGAUCCGUUUUCUGGCCUUCCUAGUGAAGAUGUCGCUACCCAUCUAAAUAGCUUUGUUGAUUUGUGUGAUAUGCAAAAGAAGAAAUAUGUGGAUAAUGAUAUUGUCAAAUUGAAGCUAUUUCUGUUUUCGCUUAGAGAUCGUGCUAAAACUUGGUUUUCGUCCUUGCCUAAAAUAGUAUUGAUUCUUGGAACAAGUGCAAAGAUGCUUUUAUCUCUAAGUAUUUUCCUCUCGCUAAGAUCAUCUCUCUUAGAAACGAUAUUAUGAAUUUUAAGCAACUUGAUCAUGAGCAUGUUGCACAAGCAUGGGAGAGGAUGAAAUUAAUUAUACGUAAUUGUCCUACACAUGGUUUGAAUUUGUGGAUGAUCAUACAAAAAAAUUAUGCUGGACUAAAUUUUGCUUCUAGAAAUCUUUUAGAUUCGGCCGCGGGAGGCACUUUUAUGGAAAUCACUUUAGGAGAAGCUACCAAACUCCUAGAUAAUAUUAUGGUUAAUUAUUCUCAAUGUCACACCGAAAGAUCUACUAGUAAAAAGGUUCAUGCUAUAGAAGAAACUAAUGUUUUGAGUGGAAAGAUGGAUGAACUUAUGAAAUUGUUUGCUAAUAAGAGUGUUUCUUAUGAUCCUAAUGAUAUGCCUUUGUCUACUUUGAUUGAGAAUAAUAAUGAAUUUAUGGAUGUGAAUUUUGUUGGUAGGAACAAUUUUGGUAACAACGCAUAUAGAGGAAACUCUAAUCCUAGGCCGUAUCCUAGUAAUUCCUUUAAUAAUUAUGAUAAUUCCUACAAUUUUUAUAGAAAUAAUAAUAAGACGCCCUCUUAUUUUGAAUCUAGUAUUAAAGAAUUUAUUAGUUCGCAAAAGAGUUCAAUGCUUUGAUUGAAGAAAAAUUGUCCAAGAUUGAUGAGUUGGCUAGGAACGUGGAUAGAAUUUCUCUUGAUGUUGAUUCUUUGAAACUUAGAUCUAUUCCACCUAAGCACGAUAUCAAUGAGUCUCUCAAAGCCAUGAGAAUUUCCAUUGAUGAGUGCAAAGAAAGAACCGCUAGGAUGUGUGCUAAAAAAGAUCACUUUAUAAAAGCGUGUUCUUCUAGUUUUGAUGAUAAUAAGGAUGAAGAUCUAAUAGUGAUUGAUGUGUCUCCUAUUAAAUCUUUGUUUUGCAAUAUGAAUCUUGAUAAUGAUGGGACUAGAGAUGAGUCAACUUUAGUUAAAAGGCGUCCCAAUGAUUCGGAGUUUUUAGAUCUUGAUGCAAAAAUUGGUAAAAGUGGGAUUGGAGAGGUCAAAACUUUACAUAGCCAUGAACCCACUAUUUUGGAUUUCAAGGAAUUUAAUUAUGAUAAUUGCUCUUUGAUAGAUUGUAUUUCCUUGUUGCAAUUCGUGCUAAAUUUUCUGCAUGCUUAUAGUCAAAAUAAAGCUUUUACCAAGCAUAUCGUUGAUGCUUUAAUGCAAUCUUAUGAAGAAAAGCUUGAAUUAGAAGUUUCUAUCCCUAGAAAACUUCAUGAUGAGUGGGAACCUACUAUUAAAAUUAAAAUUAAAGAUCAUGAAUGCUAUGUUUAUGUGAUUUGGGUGCUAGCGUUUCCAUGAUUCCAGAAACUUUGUGUGGUGUGUUAGGUUUCCGUGAAUUUGAUGAUUGUUCUUUAAAUUUCCACCUCACGGAUUCCACUAUUAAGAAACCUAUGGGAAGGAUUAAUGAUGUUCUUAUUGUUGCAAAUAGGAAUUAUUUGCCCGUAGAUUUCAUUGUUCUUGACAUUGAUUGCAAUCGUAUAUGUCCUAUUAUUCUUGGUAGACCUUUCCUUAGAACGAUUGGUUCAAUUAUUGAUAUGAAAGAAGGGAAUAUCAGAUUCCAAUUUCUGUUAAGGAAAGGCAUGGAACACCUUCCUAGAAAUAAAAUUAAAUUACCUUAUGAUUCUAUUAUGAGAGCCACUUAUGGAUUGCAUAACAAAGAUGAUAAUACCUAGAUCUAUUCUUGCUUUUAUGCCUACCUAGCGGAGUUAAACGAUAGCGCUUGUUGGGAGGCAACCCAAUUUUAUUUUUGUUUCUUGCUUUUCGGUUAUGUUUAGUAAUAAAUAAUUCAUCUAGCCUCUGUUUAUAUGCGUUUUUGGGGUUACAGAAUGUUUCUAAACCUACAGUGAAUCUAUGGCUAGUAUUGGAGGUUAUGAACCAUAGAGAAGUUGGAAUACAGUAGGUUUAAAACCAAUAUAAAUAAAGAAUGAGUUCAUUACAGUAGAUUAAGUGUGGUUUGUUUUCUUAUACUAAUGGAGCUCAUGAGAUUUUCUGUUGAGUUUUCUGUUGUGAAGUUUUCAAGUUUUGGGUAAAGAUUUGAUGGAUUAUGGACUAAGGAGUGGCAAGAGCCUAAGAUUGGGGAUGACCAAGGCACCCCAAGGUAAAAUUCAAGGACAACCAAAAGCCUAAGUGUAACGCCCUCGAUGCGGCUAUAUCUCCCACGUGUCGAAGCACGACUUAGAGGCAUAACCGCAUUGAAAGCAAUGUCGCAAGUGAGGUAAUCUUCGCAAACAACCCAUGUAAUAUAUAAGGGAAAGAUACAUAGUUGGCUUACAAUCGCCACUUCACACAAUUACAUGAAUAAAGCAUUACAUCAACCAGAUACAAUCAAGGUCCGACUACGGAACCAGAAUAAAAGAAGAACCCCAAAAGCGACAAAGGUCCCCGAUCGGCCCCAACUGGGCUCCACUACUGACCAACUAGAACGAAACAACACAAAGGGAAAGAUCUUCAUCGAGCUCCACCUGAGCUUGGUUGUGUCAUCUGCACGGACUCAUCGGCACCUGCAAGCUGGUUUUGGAAGUAUCUGUGAGCCACGGGGACUCAACAAUCUCGCACCCUCGCGAUCAAGACUAUUUAAGCUUAUGGGUAAGGUAAAGGUAUGAGGUGGAGCUGCAGCAAGUGACUAGCAUAUAUGGUGGCUAACAUACGCAAAAGAGAGCGAGAAGAUGAGGCAAAGCACGAUCGAGGAAACUAUGAUCAAGAAGUGAUCCUAGAACAACCUACGUCAAGCAUAACUCCAACACCGUGUUCACUUCCCGGACUCUGCCGGAAAGAGACCAUCACGGUUACACACGCGGUUGAUUCAUUUUAAUUAAAUUAAGGUUCAAGUUAUCUACAACCGAACAUUAACAAAUUCCCAUCUGCCCAUAACCGCGGGCACGGCUUUCGAAAGUUCAAAUCCCUGCAGGGGUGUCCCAACUUAGCCCAUGACAAGCUCUCACGGUCAACGAAGGAAUAGACCUCCUCCCGAGACAUUCCGAUCAGACUUGGUAUCCCGGUACAACAAGACAUCCUCGACAAUGGUAAAACAAGACCAGCAAGACCGCCCGAUGCGCCGACAUCCUGAUAGGAGCUGCACAUAUCUUGUUUUCAGGGCAACACUGGAUGAACACUACAUACAGCUAAAACCAGCCCUCAAGUUUCCUCGAGGUGGCGCCGCAAGUGGCUCUAGUUUGGACCAACACUUAGACAAGCACNNNNNNNNNNNNNNNNNNNNNNNNNNNNNNNNNNNNNNNNNNNNNNNNNNNNNNNNNNNNNNNNNNNNNNNNNNNNNNNNNNNNNNNNNNNNNNNNNNNNNNNNNNNNNNNNNNNNNNNNNNNNNNNNNNNNNNNNNNNNNNNNNNNNNNNNNNNNNNNNNNNNNNNNNNNNNNNNNNNNNNNNNNNNNNNNNNNNNNNNNNNNNNNNNNNNNNNNNNNNNNNNNNNNNNNNNNNNNNNNNNNNNNNNNNNNNNNNNNNNNNNNNNNNGAUGCGCGACUCCCAAGGGAAAAAUGCUAGGUGGCAAAUGGUAAAACCAAUGUUGGGCAUUGCUGGAGGAGCUUUACUUAAGGCGAACUGUCAAUGGUUCCCAUUAUAGCCCAACCGCGUAAGGGACACAAAAUCCGGGAACAUAACACCGAUAUGACGGAAACUAGGGCGGCAAGAGUGGAACAAAACACCAGGCAUAAGGCCGAGCCUUCCACCCUUUACCAAGUAUAUAGAUGCAUUAAUUAAAUAAGAGAUAUUGUGAUAUCCCAACAAAAUAUAUCCAUGUUCCAACACGGAACAAGCUCCAAUCUUCACCUGCAACUAACAACGCUAUAAGAGGGGCUGAGCAAAGCGGUAACAUAGCCAAACAACAGUUUGCUAGGAUAAGGUGGGUUAGGGGCUUGGUUCAACAAUAUGGGAGGCAUGAUAAGCAACUGGUAGGUAUCGUAGCAUAGGCAUAGCAAAAGAGCAAGCAACUAGCAAGCAAAGAUAGAAGUGAUUUCGAGGGUAUGGUCAUCUUGCCUGAAAUCCCGCAAGGAAGAAGAACGAGUCCAUGAAGAAGACAAACGAACGUAGUCGAACGGGUCCUCACAAACACGACGUUACCGGAUACCGAGAAGAAGCAACACCGGAAAGAAAGCAAACAACUUAGUAAACAACCCACACAUAACAUGGCAUGAUGCACAACCAAGUAUGAUGCAUGUCCGGUUUAAUGAAGCAUGGCAUGGCAAAGUGCACAAACAAUCCUACAAAUUAAGUGGAGCACAAUAUGCAACGAGUUGCAUAUUGACGAAACACCACAUUCAAGUUAUUUAGUUUCGAUCUUGUUUAUGUACCCAACAAUAUUAAAUGUUGUUAAACAUGGCAAGAGAGGUGAAGCAAAAUAAAACUAUAUCAUCUAAACAAUUUAAAUGGGGUCGGGCAUAACAAACAACAAAUCCGGUAAAUCCCCAUAUGCAUUAGUAAAUUAAUGCAAACGACAAUUUAACCAUUCUUGAAGUUGUUAUCAUGAUGCGGAUGACAUGCAAGUUUUAUGCAAUAUUUAUGAAUAAGUUGAUAAGAGCAUAUUAUGAAGCAUUUGUCACCGUGGUGGAAGGAAAAAGAGUGCCACGGCAAUGAUAACGAUAACGGUGCCACGACAGCGUUCCAGUUCCGGUAACUCAAUUGAGAUACCGAUGCAAAGGAGAAGUGUGCGGAUGCGCGGAACAUGCUAGAGAUGGUGCGGUGAUCCCGACUACCGGGUUCCCACGAGUUAGUGGCAUGGAAAACGAGUGACAAUUCGGACACGGUGCAAACGGUGCAUCUCAUACAACACAUGCAUUCGGCCCACAGUGGUCGUCUCAGGGUUAUACCUUCGAAGCGUGCAUUUCGAGGCGGUUCAAAAACGUCAAGGGAAGUAGUCAUUCACGGGUUAUAAUGGAAGUAGUGGUACACGAUUUGUAGAUGUUCAGGGUCACGAUGAGGAACUUGACGUCCAAGGGAUCUUCGAGGGUUGGCGGUAGUGGUACACGUUUGGCGUUUCGUAGUCGUUCGAGUCAUCGGUAGAGAAACUUGGUGGUCCAUGUAGUCGAACUUGGCGCAUCCGAGGGGUACAUGGUGAAAUCACGCAGUCAUACACGGGUCGUAGAGGUACUUGGCGUCCCUGAGUCGAGGGUAGGGGGAGGCUAGGUUGCCUGAAAUGGACAAGGGGGUGUCCAUAUAUAGCCAAAAGAGCUAGGGUUAGGGGAUUUAGGGGGUUUUCGGACCCUCCGAUCGCGAUCCGAUGGCCCCGGUCGUGAGGAUGGAGUAGGUGGGCUGCAGGUGAGUGGAAGUGGGCUGUGGAGAGCGGGUUGUGCUGAGAGAAGAGAAGAGAGAGAGACCCGGCGACUGUUUCCGGAGACCGAAAACGUCCGACGUUAGAGCGGCUAUAUUGCCGCUAUAGUUUAACCGUUGGGCUAUCAAACGAGCUCCGAACGCGAUGAAACUUGGCGGGCGGUCUACUGACAACAAAACAACACCACACGCCAACUUUCAGCCCAUUCCGAGAACAUUUUCCGGCCACUUAUAAAAUACUAUUUCGGACAUGCCGCGGGCGCGUGCAGGUGUGUCUGGGCUCAGAACGGACAACGGACGGAACGAGGAGAACCUGGACGAAUGCAAGUUUUGAAAACAUGAUGAUGCAAUGCGGAUGAUGACAUGGUGAGAUGCAACACGCAAGCAAAUGACAAGGCAACAACAACGAAUAACUCGAAGACACCUGGCGCAACGGUCUCGGGGCAUUACAACACUCCACCACUACGAGAGGAUCUCGUCCCGAGAUCUAGAAUGGCACCGGAGGGACAAACGGAAGAGAAAGAGAAGAGGCAAAAGUAAGUUGCUCCUUUGACAAACGAGUGAAACCAAAGAACCUUGAAAAGGUUAAGCCAUUUCGAGAAAAAGAAUAACGGAGAUGACAAAUUUGAAAACACUCCAUUAGAAAAGAGGGACAAAGAACACUGCGAAAAACCUUGAGGUUGAAGGGCAAGAUGUAUAUUGAAACCACUCCGGUUAGAACAAGAUAGAGAAGGAUUAAGAAUGAUAUAAUUUGAGCAGCACUCCGUCUGAGAAGGGAGGCAAAACUUGGCAGAAUGGGAAAAAUUCGAAAAGCAGGCACGACACUCCGGUUAAAAGGAUAAGGACGAAAAGAACACGAUCCUGACAAAACAAGAAGAUGGGUUGCAGAGAGCAACAUCACAAUGCCUCCGGAACGAAAGAGUAGAGUAAAGAUAAUUGAGACAAACGAAUGUAGAAGACAAUGCCAACUUCUGCUACAAAAGAUCCUGAAAAGGCAUCUAUAGGAGAAGGGUUGAACGGAGUUGUUGGAAACCAACAACGAAAAGAAUAAGCUUGAUAUGGUCUUAUGGAAUACAUCUCAAAUUAUGAGGUGAUAACCUGCCACUCACGGAAAAAGAGUUGUAUUGGAAUGAACAAGGAGACGAGAAACUUAUCAUCGGGAGGUUAAAAGAAGAACUUGGGUCACUUAUGAGUACCAUAGAUAGCAACAAUCCUUAGGGAAAGCUUUAGGUGACGUAUAACCCAAGAUACUUCAAUGACGAGAUUGAUGGAUUUAAAAUACCUCAUUCUUAAUAAUAUGUGAAUCAUGAAACAUGAACUCAAAUUAUCAAGAAUGACAUAAUACCACCUCGAAUGGUACGGUUGAAAGAAUUGCACUCCAGAUUGCAAGAUGAAGAAUGCUUGAGCUCCUCUGAAAAUAAUCUCGAUGGACACUUUGAGAAGGAAUUAUGUCCUUGAUGAACCAACAUGUAGAGCCUCCCUGAAGAACUCUGGUAAACAAAAGAAUGAUCAAACGGAAGGAAAGAGAAGUUGAAAACACAAGGUGAAUCUUUGUAAUGAUUUAGACGGAUCUUCGCGACGAGAUAAUGCGAAAAAUCUAGGAACUCUGGAAAAGAAAGAUGAAGCAUCUCGAACUAAGAAUGUGAUACGAUGAACCUCCGGAAUAAAGAAUUGAAUUUACUUGAUGAAACAAGAAUAAGAAUUACAUUAUGCUUAUCCUUCACCAAUUUAGAUUGAUGACAAGCAAUGGAUUUGGCAUACUACUUAUUCUCGUAGAAAGGAUUAAGAUAGAUAUUGCAUAAAUUUGAGAAGGUCUUCAACGAACCACCGGUAGGAUGAAAGAACGAAUGAAUCGAUACAAUAACAAACGAAGAGAAAUCUUGAAUGAGCCACCGGUAAGAAUUGAAAAUGAACGAAGAGAAGAUAAAGAAACACCGGGAAGAAUUAUAAAAUGAACGAAGAUGCUUGAGAGAAUUUAGAUCCAUGAGAACGAAGAGAUUACGAGCUGAUUAGAGAGUCCUUGAUUUAAACACCGGUAUGAUUUAGAGUAAGAGAGCUGAAAGCUGAGAAUGAAUAAUUCUGAAUUGAUAGACUCUGGAUAAUCGAACUGAGAAGACUCUUGAGUUGCUCCAGAUAGGUGAAAAGAAUUACUCACGAUCAAAACAAUUAUGAGAGGAUGGUCUCGAACUAGAACCACGAAUCUCUGAGAGAACGGAUAAGAUAUGGAGGAAAAACUCUUCUUCGGUCUUCAAAUGUUGAGAAUGACGACGAGAAACACCACCGUGAAUUGUUGAGAAACUCCGGAAUAAAGAAGAAUAGGCAAGUUGAACCAAUGAUGAAAAGAAUUUGACAGAUCUUGGAGAAAAAACAUUUGACUGAUGAUAAAUCAUUCUUAUGUCAAACUUUAGAAAAGAAUUUGAGAAGCUCCGGAAAAAUUAGAAGAGUCAGGUAAGAUCCUGGGUAAAGACCUGUGGGUUAGGGCCCACUCAAAAGAAACACCGUUGAACGAUUUAAAAGAGAGGUUGCACCGGUUGAAUUAAAUGACUUGAAUGAGAAAACAACCUCGAGAUAUCUUCAGCAAUCCGGAACCAAAAGAAUAGCGAGAGGUGAAAGAUUAUUUGGAGCACCGGCAUGAGAAAAAAACAUUUGAAACGAGGAAAAGAAUAUGAUCAACAAAGCUUGACUUGAAACCACCGGAGAAGAAAAUGAGUGAAGAGUGACGAACUUGAAUCUCCGUUAGAAUCUUCAUGAGAAUCACCAGAUAAGGAUAUUGACGGAAAAGGAUGGAGAGACUUCACAAGAGUAAAAGGAUACUUGAUAAGAUAUAUGAGUCCUUGAAGAAACAAGGGUGGGAGGGUGGGAAAACAAAGGCAACUUGGAGGCGAAUGAAACAAACACCGUAGAGAAGAACUGAUCAUUGAUCUUACUGAUGUUGAAAUGAUCGGAUCCAGUUGAAGAGAAACACACCGGUUGAAAAGGAUUGACAUGACAAACUCGAUGAUUGAGAAGGAUUAGUAUUCACAUUGGAGUAUGAGAACACCAUUUAGGAAAGGUAUGGAAUCAACAUUUGACUUCGAAGCAACUCGAAUACCACAGCUCAAAAACAAAACAAAGGAUUGGCUUGCAGAAUAAGCCGGAACAAAACAUAUGAUAGAGAUUUCGUCCGAAGUUUUCGUGGUGGGGCCUACACGGGCUCGAUCGUACAGCACCAUCAUGUACAAGGCAGUGCACAUGACAUACGAAGCGUCCCCGAGUUGGCAUAGCCAAGGACUCUUUAAGACACAACGAGACCACUGUAAAACCGACCGUGAAUAGGCGGACCACUAGACGUCGAACCCCAAUUUCAUAUCAUACAUCUGUCGGAAAGAUAUUCUAAGAGCUACUUGAAUUCCCACCUAUGAAACUCCGAAAUUUUCUGGUUAUGCAAUCAGGUGUUGGGGAUACAGGGGAAGCAUAAUAUCUCACCCAAAACUAGCAAAUCCUACAUCCAGCUGUAUCCAUCCUUCAACACAUAACCAAGAAACCUUCGGAAAUCAUCUACCUCAACCUUCGAAAAGCAUCUGUUAUACAAGUUAUGGCAAUACUCCCGAACUCCCGCCCCAGUACUGGGUGGUGUCGAGGUUAUCUCACCAACGAACUGCAUAAAAGAGAUUUUCGAUGUCGGCGUACUAAACUCAGGUAUUCCAGAACUGCAACGAUAAAAUUAUGACGACAACACCUUAGAGCUCAACUCCCCGGGACACUUCCACAAAACCCCUGACAGGAGGCACCAAGAUAAUGUUCUCGUCAUAAAACCAUCGGAACGAUUCUAAGAUACCCACGUGAUCCUAAAAAAAAUUAGUGAAAUUUCAGAAGAGAAGAGUCAAAACCCUACGUCAGGAUGCCUUACCAGAGCAAUGAGGAGACUGGGAAGUAAAAAGAAUUCCUAAACUCUCCGAUAUAUAAUUCCUAAAUGACUCAAAACAUUUUUCUAGACACAACUCGGUCGCUAAUAACGAUCAAGCAAUGGGGCUCCUAAGGUCGGGGAAGGCUCUGAUUACCAACUUGUAACGCCCUCGAUGCGGCUAUAUCUCCCACGUGUCGAAGCACGACUUAGAGGCAUAACCGCAUUGAAAGCAAUGUCGCAAGUGAGGUAAUCUUCGCAAACAACCCAUGUAAUAUAUAAGGGAAAGAUACAUAGUUGGCUUACAAUCGCCACUUCACACAAUUACAUGAAUAAAGCAUUACAUCAACCAGAUACAAUCAAGGUCCGACUACGGAACCAAAAUAAAAGAAGAACCCCAAAAGCGACAAAGGUCCCCGAUCGACCCCAACUGGGCUCCACUACUGACCAACUAGAACGAAACAACACAAAUGGCAAGAUCUUCAUUGAGCUCCACCUGAGCUUGGUUGCGUCAUCUGCACGGACUCAUCGGCACCUACAAGCUGGUUUUGGAAGUAUCUGUGAGCCACGGGGACUCAGCAAUCUCGCACCCUCGCGAUCAAGACUAUUUAAGCUUAUGGGUAAGGUAAAGGUAUGAGGUGAAGCUGCAGCAAGCGACUAGCAUAUAUGGUGGCUAACAUACGCAAAAGAGAGUGAGAAGAGGAGGCAAAGCACGAUCGAGGAAACUAUGAUCAAGAAGUGAUCCUAGAACAACCUACGUCAAGCAUAACUCCAACACCGUGUUCACUUCCCGGACUCUACCGGAAAGAGACCAUCACGGUUACACACGCGGUUGAUUCAUUUUAAUUAAAUUAAGGUUCAACUUAUCUACAACCGGACAUUAACAAAUUCCCAUCUGCCCAUAACCGCGGGCACGGCUUUCGAAAGUUCAAAUCCUUGCAGGGGUGUCCCAACUUAGCCCAUGACAAGCUCUCACGGUCGACGAAGGAAUAGACCUCCUCCCGAGACAUUCCGAUCAGACUCGGUAUCCCGGUACAACAAGACAUCCUCGACAAUGGUAAAACAGGACCAGCAAGACCGCCCGAUGCGCCGACAUCCUGAUAGGAGCUGCACAUAUCUCGUUCUCAAGGCAACACCGGAUGAACACUACGUACAGCUAAAACCAACCCUCAAGUUUNNNNNNNNNNNNNNNNNNNNNNNNNNNNNNNNNNNNNNNNNNNNNNNNNNNNNNNNNNNNNNNNNNNNNNNNNNNNNNNNNNNNNNNNNNNNNNNNNNNNNNNNNNNNNNNNNNNNNNNNNNNNNNNNNNNNNNNNNNNNNNNNNNNNNNNNNNNNNNNNNNNNNNNNNNNNNNNNNNNNNNNNNNNNNNNNNNNNNNNNNNNNNNNNNNNNNNNNNNNNNNNNNNNNNNNNNNNNNNNNNNNNNNNNNNNNNNNNNNNNNNNNNNNNNNNNNNNNNNNNNNNNNNNNNNNNNNNGAUGACCCUCGGGAUGUGCGACUCCCAAGGGAAAAGGCUAGGUGGCAAAUGGUAAAACCAAUGUUGGGCAUUGCUGGAGGAGCUUUACUUAAGGCGAACUGUCAAGGGGUUCCCAUUAUAGCCCAACCGCGUAAGGGACGCAAAAUCUGAGAACAUAACACCGAUAUGACGGAAACUAGGGCGGCAAGAGUGGAACAAAACACCAGGCAUAAGGCCGAGCCUUCCACCCUUUACCAAGUAUAUAGAUGCAUUAAUUAAAUAAGAGAUAUUGUGAUAUCCCAACAAAAUAUAUCCAUGCUCCAACACGGAACAAGCUCCAAUCUUCACCUGCAACUAACAACACUAUAAGAGGGGCUGAGCAAAGCGGUAACAUAGCCAAACAACGGUUUGCUAGGAUAAGGUGGGUUAGGGGCUUGGUUCAACAAUAUGGGAGGCAUGAUAAGCAACUGGUAGGUAUCGUAGCAUAGGCAUAGCAAAAGAGCGAGCAACUAGCAAGCAAAGAUAGAAGUGAUUUCGAGGGUAUGGUCACCUUGCCUGAAAUCCUGCAAGGAAGAAGAACGAGUCCAUGAAGAAGACAAAUGGACGUAGUCGAACGGGUCCUCACAAACACGACGUUAUCGGAUACCGAGAAGAAGCAACACCGGAAAGAAAGCAAACAACAUAGUAAACAACCCACACAUAACAUGGCAUGAUGCACAACCAAGUAUGAUGCAUGUCCGGUUUAAUGAAGCAUGGCAUGGCAAAGUGCACAAACAAUCCUACAAAUUAAGUGGAGCGCAAUAUGCAACGAGUUGCAUAUUGACGAAACACCACAUUCAAGUUAUUUAGUUUCGAUCUUGUUUAUGUACUCAACAAUAUUAAAUGUUGUUAAACAUGGAAAGAUAGGUGAAGCAAAAUAAAAUUAUAUCAUCUAAACAAUUUAAAUGGGGCCGGGCAUAACAAACAACAAAUCCGGUAAAUCCCCAUAUGCAUUAGUAAAUUAAUGCAAACGACAAUUUAACCAUUCUUGAAGUUGUUAUCAUGAUGCGGAUGACAUGCAAGUUUUAUGCAAUAUUUAUGAAUAAGUUGAUAAGAGCAUAUUAUGAAGCAUUUGUCACCGUGGUGGAAGGAAAAAGGGUGCCACGGCAACGAUAACGAUAACGGUGCCACGACAGCGUUCCAGUUCCGGUAACUCGAUUGAGUUACCGAUGCAAAGGAGAAGUGUGCGGAUGCGCGGAACAUGCUAGAGAUGGUGGGGUGAUCCCGACUACCGGGUUCCCACGAGUUAGUGGCAUGGAAAACGGGUGACAAUUCGGACACGGUGCAAAUGGUGCAUCUCAUACAACACAUGCAUUCGGCCCAAAGUGGUCGUCUCAGGGUUAUACCUUCGAAGCGUGCAUUUCGAGGCGGUUCAAAAACGUCGAGGGAAGUAGUCGUUCACGGGUUAUAAUGGAAGUAGUGGUACACGAUUUGUAGAUGUUCAGGGUCACGACGAGGUACUUGACGUCCAAGGGAUCUUCGAGGGUCGAUGGUAGUGGUACACGUUUGGAGUUUCGUAGUCGUUCGAGUCAUCGGUAGAGAAACUUGGUGGUCCAUGUAGUCGAACUUGGCGCAUCCGAGGGGUACUUGGUGAAAUCACGCAGUCAUACACGGGUCGUAGAGGUACUUGGCGUCCCUGAGUCGAGGGUAGGGGGAGGCUAGGUUGCCUGAAAUGGACAAGGGGGUGUCCAUAUAUAGCCAAAAGAGCUAGGGUUAGGGGAUUUAGGGGGGUUUUCGGACCCUCCGAUCGCGAUCCGAUGGCUCCGGUCGUGAGGAUGGAGUAGGUGGGCUGCAAGCGAGUGGAAGUGGGUUGUGGAGAGCAGGUUGUGCUGAGAGAAGAGAAGAGAGAGAGACCCGACGACUGUUUCCGGAGACCGAAAAAGUCCGACGUUAGACCGGCUAUAUUGCCGCUAUAGUUUAACCGUUGGGCUAUCAAACGAGCUCCGAACGCGAUGAAACUUGGCGGGCGGUCUACUAACAACAAAAAAACACCACACACCAACUUUCAGCCCAUUCCGAGAACAUUUUCCGGCCACUUAUAAAAUACUAUUUCGGACAUGCCACGGGCGCGUGCAGGUGUGUCUGGGCUCAAAACAGAUAACGGACGGAACAAGGAGAACCCGGACGAAUGCAAGUUUUGAAAACAUGAUGAUGCAAUGCGGAUGAUGACAUGGCGAUAUGCAACACGCAAGCAAAUGACAAGGCAACAACAACGAAUAACUCGAAGACACCUGGCGCAAUGGUCUCGGGGCGUUACAAUAAGCUUGGGGAUGCCCCGGAAGGCAUCCCCUCUUUUGUCUUUGUUCAUCGGUAACUUUACUUGAGGCUAUAUUUUUAUUCACCACAUGAUAUGUGUUUUGCUUGGAGUGUCUUGUAUGAUUUGAGUCUUUGCUUUUUAGUUUACCAAAAUCAUCCUUGCUGUACACACCUUUUGGGAGAUACAAACAUGAAUUGGAAUUUAUUAGAAUACUCUAUGUGCUUCACUUAUAUCUUUUGAGCUCGAUAAUUUUGCUCUAGUGCUUCACUUACACUAGUAGAAAAAGGGUCAAAUGUGCGACACAUUAGUCCCGGUUUGUAACAGAACCGGCACUAAUGUGUCCAUUAGUGCCGGUUCCAAUGGCUAGGCGGGAGGAGCUCUUUAGUACCUGUUCGUGGCGAACCUUUAGCACCGGUUCGUGCCACGAACCGAUACUAAUGAGUGGUGGCAGGAUGUUGUCAGAGUGGGGCCCCUCCAGCACCUUUACUACCGGUUCGUGCCACGAACCAGUACUAAAGGUCGUCCUAUAUGAACCCUUCGUCCACCAGCACUCUGUUCUUCCCCCUUUCCCCUCUCCCUCUCCUCUGUUCUUCCCUUCUUCCUCUCGAGUUCAUCACAAAAUUUGCCCCAAAUUUGUCAAGAUUUGCAAGCCCCCAUCCAUUCAAAUGAUCACAAAGGUUAGCAACUUUAUCCUUUCAUCUCUCAUUGCUAGAUUAGCUCUUGCAUUGGUUUAUAUAGUGAUUAAUUGUGGGUUUUAGUAAUUUGGGAGGAAUUAUAUGUGGUAGUAUUUGAUUUAUAUGCAAACUGAGGUCAAAAUAACACUUAGUUUGCAUAUGUAGGUGUGGUUUACUUAGUGCCUUCUAAAUCUCCGUCGUAACCACCGUCGAUCGCCCGCACCGUCCCGUCGCCAGCACCACCUUGUGGUGAGCCUCUUGUUCAUGAAAUUUUAUAUAAAAAUUGAUGUUUGUGUGAUUUGGAUAUAUAGUUACUUGUAUAAUUAUAUUACACGUACGUUGUUUGUUAUACAUAGUGCCAUGGUUUUGAUGUCCGUCCCCGUCGGCCCUCGCCCUUGUUAUGAUUCGGAUGUGGUAUAUUCUCUUUUAGAACUAUUUGUUGCAUUUCGUGUUUAUGACAAAUUAUGCCCAUCAAGCUGACAUAGAUAUUUGUAUGUAGGAGGUAGUUGAACCGGAAAUUCCAACCGACCCUAUUGUCGAGAGGUUAAAUUUAGUUGAAAGAGAAAAUGAGGAUUUGAAAGAAAAAUUGAAAAGAAUUGAGGGGGAGAAGAUGGAAUUGGAGUUGCAUGUUGCCAAUGUCGUCGAUGAUCACAAGAUUAAGAUGGAGAAAAUGCGCUUGAAGAUUAGAAAGAUUAGAAAAUAUGCCAUUCAUAGUGAGGCUUGGUAUCAUUAUGUUGUUGGAUCAAUUGUUACCUUAGUUGCGAUCUUGAUCGCAUUUGUUGUUGCAUUUAAAUUCAUUAGCUAGAGAGUUAUUUGUUUGUUGCAUUUAAGUGUUGUAUGAACUUUAUGUAUGAACUUUAUGUAUUGUAUUAAUUUGGUGUUUUCGGUGUUGUGUAUUGAAGUUGAGUCGGCAAUAGAUGUACGAUGACCGAUGCUCUCCCGAGUUCAUUAAUGACGUGCAUACUUUUCUGCUUGCGGCUGAGGCAAACAAGCAGGCGGAUAGUUUUAUGCCUUGUCCAUGUGCUGGCUGUAAGAAUGGUCACAAUUACUCUAUGUCAAGAACCAUUCACGUCCACCUGUUUGAGUCCGGUUUCAUGCCCCACUAUAAUGUUUGGACCAAGCAUGGAGAAAGAGGGGUUAUGAUGGAAGACAAUGAAGCAGAAGAGGAUGACGACAGCUAUCCUAGCCAUGGGUUCCCUGAAUACGAUGAUACAACAAUGAGGGAAGAAGCUGAGCCGGUAAUGCGGGAAGAAGCUGAGCCGGCAAUGCGGGAAGAAGCUGAAGAAGAGGCAUCAGAUGAGCACGUUGAUGAUCUAGGUCGGGCCAUUGCCGAUGCAAAGAGAAAUUGCGCAAGUGAUUUGGAGAAGAAGAAGUUGUAGCGCAUGUUAGAGGAUCACAAAAAAUUGUUGUACCCGAAUUGCCUAGGUGACAAGAAAAAGCUAGGCACCACACUGGAAUUGCUACAAUGGAAGGCACAGAAUGGUGUAUCUGACAAGGGAUUUGGAAAGUUGCUGGUAAUGAUAAAGAAUAAGCUUCCAAAGGACAACGAAUUGCCCGAGAGUACGUACGAAGCAAAGAAGGCUGUCUUCCCUCUAGGGUUAGAGGUGCAGAAGAUACAUGCAUGCCCUAAUGAUUGCAUCCUCUACCGCGGUGAGUACGAGGAUUUGAACGCUUGCCCGGUAUGAUGUGCAUUGCGCUAUAAGACCAGCCGCGAUGACCCUGGUGAUGUCGAGGGCGAGCGCCCCAGGAAGAAGAUUCCUGCCAAGGUGAUGUGGUAUGCUCCUAUAAUACCACGGUUGAAACGUUUGUUCCAAAACAAAGAGAAUGCCAAGGCGAUGCGAUGGCACAGAGAAGACCAUAAGAAAGACGGAAAGUUGAGAGUACCCGCUGAUGGGUCACAGUGGAGAAAAAUCGAAAGAAAGUACAGGAAGGAGUUUGCAGAUGACACAAGGAACGUAUGGUUUGGUCUAAGCGCAAAUGGCAUUAAUCCUUCUGGGGAGCAGAGCAGCAACCAUAGCACCUAGCAUGUGACUCUAUGUUUGUAUAACCUUCCUCCUUAGUUGUGCAUGAAGCGGAAGUUCAUUAUGAUGCCAGUGCUCAUCCAAGGCCCUAAGCAAUCCGGCAACGACAUUGAUGUGUACCUAAGGCCAUUAGUUGAAGAACUCUUACAACUGUGGAAUGGAACAGGUGUACGUGCGUGGGAUGAGCACAUGGGGGAAGAAUUUGACCUAAAGGCGUUGCUGUUCAUGACAAUCAAUGAUUGGCCUGCUCUCAGUAACCUUUCAGGACAGACAAACAAGGGAUACCGCGCAUGCACGCACUGUUUGGACGAUACCGACAGUAUAUAUUUGGCUAAUUGUAAGAAGAAUGUGUACCUGGGACAUCGUCGAUUUCUUCCAAGCAGGCAUCCCGUAAGAAAGAAAGGCAAGCAUUUCAAAGGUGAGGCGGAUCACCGGACGAAGCCUCGCCACCGUACUGGUGCUGAUGUACAUGAUAUGGUCAAGGAUUUGAAGGUGGUCUUUGGAAAGGGUCCUGGUGGACAACGUGUUCCGAAUGACGCUGACGGACACGCACCCAUGUGGAAGAAGAAAUCUAUAUUUUGGGACCUGCCCUAUUGGAAAGACCUAGAGGUCCGCUCCGCAAUCGACAUAAUGCACGUGACGAAGAAUCUUUGUGUGACCCUGCUUGGCUUCUUAGGCGUGUAUGGGAAGACAAAAGAUACACCUGAGGCACGGGAGGACCAGCAAUGUAUGCACGGAAAAGACAACAUACAUCAGGGUCAUGCAAGCUAUGCUCUUACCAAAGAAGAGAAGGAAAUCUUCUUUGAAUGUCUGCUCAGUAUUAAGGUACCGUUUGGCUUCUCGUCGAAUAUAAAGGGAAUAAUAAACAUGGCAGAGAAAAAUUUCCAGAACCUAAAGUCUCAUGACUGCCACGUGAUUAUGACACAGCUGCUUCCGGUUGCAUUGAGGGGGCUUCUACCGAAAAACGUUCAAUUAGCCAUUGUGAAGCUAUGUGCAUUCCUCAAUCCAAUCUCUCAGAAGGUAAUCGAUCUAGAAAUCAUACCAAGGUUAGAGAAUGAUUUGGUGCAAUGUCUUGUCAGUUUAGAGUUGGUGUUCCCACCAUCCUUCUUCAACAUCAUGACACACAUCCUAGUUCACCUAUGCGAAGAGAUUAACGUUUUGGGUCCUGUAUUUCUACACAAUAUGCUCCCCUUUGAGAGGUUCAUGUGAGUCUUAAAGAAAUAUGUUCAUAACCGUGCUAGGCCAAAAGGAAGCAUCUCCAAGGGCCAUGAAAAUGAGGAGGUCAUUGAGUUUUGUAUUUACUUUAUUCCUGACCUUAAGCCGAUUGGUGUUCCUGAAUCGCGGCAUAAGGGCAGACUGGAUGGAAAAGGCACGCUAGGAGGGGAACAAAUAAUAUGUAUGGACGGACAUUCUCUCACUGAAGCACACUACACAGUUCUACAGAAUUCCGCCUUGGUGGCUCCAUAUAUGGAUGAACACAAGAAUUUUCUACGCUCCAAACACCCGGAGCGGUCUGAUGACUGGAUUACACAUGAACAAACCAGGAGUUUCGCCAGCUGGUUGCAGACACGUACCAUGCAUGACGCCUCUAUUGAAGAUGACAUGUACUUGCUGUCUCAAUUACCAUAUUCGAAUAUAAUGACUUUCAAAGGGUACGAGAUAAAUGGCAAUACAUUUUACACGAUCGCCCAAGAUAAGAAGAGCACCAACCAAAACAGUGGUGUCCGCUUUGAUGCAGAAACCAAGAUGGGAAAGGAAACAUAUUAUGGUUAUAUACAAGACAUAUGGGAACUUGACUAUCGACGUGGUUUGAAGGUCCCUUUGUUUCGGUGCAAAUGGGUCAAUAUAACACGAGGCAGGGUAACGGAAGACCCGCAGUACGGAAUGGAAACAGUGGAUCUCAACAAUCUUGCGUAUGAAGAUGAACCAUUUGUCCUAGCCAAUGAUGUGGCACCGGUUUUCUAUGUGAAGGACAUGUCUACCAAGCUUAGAAAAAGAAAAGAUAAGGAAGCGAAUGCAUCGUACGAUGAGCCAAAGCGGCACAUAGUUCUUUCUGGGAAGAGAAACAUCGUGGGAGUGGAUGACAAGACAGACAUGUCAGGAGAUUAUGAAAAGUUUGAUGAAAUUGCUCCAUUCAUAGUGAAUAUUGACCCGAGCAUCCCGUUAAAUGAUGAAGAUUUUCCAUGGUUACAGCGCAAAGGGACACACACGAAGAAAAAGUUUCACACCCAAAGAUCGGGGAUGUGAUCGGCUUCACUAUCAUCACUUUCUUCUGUGUUUCACACCCAGGAGGGAAUCUCUGUAAUAGUUAGGGUAGUUAUGUGUUUUGGCAUUUGAAACGCGAAGAAAUUUUAUGUGCAAACAAAUUCUUUCAUGCCUUUACUGAUUUUUUCCAGCUAAAAAGGCAUUUCAUUUUUUAAAUAACCUAAGCAUUACCAAAUUGAAUAUAAUGAUAAGACACACUAAUAUUAAACAUAAUAAAAAAGAAUCACUGAAAAAUAUAUUUUUAAAGUUAAGUUAUUCACAAACUAGUGAUUCACACAAAUUUCAAAUAAUUCAAAAUUUAAACUAUUCAAAUUUAAAAACUACCGGCACUAACUGAAAGUUUCUAAAAACCAUCAAAAAUAUUCAUAAAGAAACUCUAAAUACAGCAAAAAACAACUAAAAAUAAAUAAAACAAAAUAAAUAAAGGAGAAAAGAAAAAACUAAAUGAAAAAAAGCCCACCUACCGGGCCACAGCGGCCGGCAUACGACUAGAAACCCAACCUGUUGUUGGGCCAGGAUGCAGGCCUGCAAGCCCAAUAGGCCCCAUAGGGCAGAGUAGCAGAGGUAGGCCCAGAAGGCCUGCUUUAGAGAGGAGCUCGAGACAGCAGCGGCGGCGGGGCUUAUAAGCAGGUGCGAGCGCCCUUCGGCUAGCGAGGUGGGACUAAACUUCUGCGCCCCUCGCCUGGCAGCGCACCCCCUUUAGUACCGGGUCGUGGCAUCAACCAGUGCUAAAGGGGGGGGGGGUCUUUAGUACCAGUUGGAGCCACCACCCGGUACUAAAGGCCCGCCCUUCCCGCCGCUUGGCCUGGCCAAAACAGGCCUUUAGUACCGGUUGGUGGCUCCAACCGGUACUAAAGGUGCCUUCUAUAUAUACAUCACUUUGAAAAAUUUCAUUCUCCCUCUGUUUCUUCCUCUGUUUCCCCAUUGAAGCACCGCCUGCCCCGAUCGAUCGACGUCAUCACCUCCCCCGUCCCCAUCGUCGCCCCCGUCCCGCGCCGCCCCCGUCGCGCGCCGUUGCCNNNNNNNNNNNNNNNNNNNNNNNNNNNNNNNNNNNNNNNNNNNNNNNNNNNNNNNNNNNNNNNNNNNNNNNNNNNNNNNNNNNNNNNNNNNNNNNNNNNNNNNNNNNNNNNNNNNNNNNNNNNNNNNNNNNNNNNNNNNNNNNNNNNNNNNNNNNNNNNNNNNNNNNNNNNNNNNNNNNNNNNNNNNNNNNNNNNNNNNNNNNNNNNNNNNNNNNNNNNNNNNNNNNNNNNNNNNNNNNNNNNNNNNNNNNNNNNNNNNNNNNNNNNNNNNNNNNNNUAUGAGCUCUCCCCCUCUAACCCCUCUCCCUCGCCCCCGGCGGCCACCAUGGGUGCCGCCCCUCCCCGAGCCCAUACACACACACAAGCAUGAUGAACACACACACACACACAUUUCCUUAAGUUAAUUAGUAUAUACGUAGUUUGUAUGUUUAAUUAGUUUAGAUUUUUUAGAUUAUUAUUUUUUCACUAGUAUAUAUGUAUGAAUGCAUGUUAGAUGGAUAUAAUUAGUGUUUAAUUAGUAUGGAAUUUUUUAUAUAUAAUGUUGUUUUUCUGUUUUUUAAUGGAUGUAUAGAAUUUGUUUUUUCUGUUUUUAGUGUUAGAUGCUUAAUUAGUAUGAAAUAGUAUAUAGAAUUUUGACAUAUGCAAUGAUAGUAUAAUUAGUGUUACAUUUGCAUAUAGUAUUUGUUGUUGACGAUGCCCGGCCCGCAUCCUCGCCGUCGACCCGUUCGCGGCGACGUCCUGCUUCAGAGGACCCAUGUCCGGGACUGGGCUCCGCCGGGCUGGCACUGGGAGGUGCUACCUUCAGGGGCGCGAUGCUUGGUGAGGAAUCCGGCCCUGGGUCCCGUCGUCGACCCUCAUCUCCUUUGAUGGCGUUCGCGUGCGCCACUUUCGAUGCGGAGGGAGCCGGCCCCGCCAGAGGUGGUACGUCGCCGUGUCAGGGAGGAGGACGAGCACGUCCAUCGCUACAUGGCUGCUAUGGACGUCAUCUCCAAUACCUGGCAGGUUCUUUAGGGAGAUCACCCGAGCUAUGAUCCAGUGAUGGUUCCUUCACUUUGGUUGUCCACCGCCUAGAUUACUCUCUAGUAUUCGAUCUUUAUUAGCUAGCUAGCUAGCUAGUGAUGUAUUCGAUAUAUAAUAUUCGAGAUGAUUUAUUCAAGAUUAUAUCUAUUAUUCGAGACGAUGUAUUCAAGAUUAUACCUAUUAUUUGAGAUGACGUAUUCGAGAUUAUAUUCGAUGAUGCUUAUUAUGUACUAUGAUUGAUUCAGUUUUUCCUUAUUAAUUGAUUGCAUCCAUGCAUUGUAAUUUGAAUAUAUUUCUUUUGGAUUAGUUAAAUAAAACCUAUGGCGGACAAUACCGGCAGAGAGGGAGAAGAGGCCUUGUUAAAUAUCAUACGCAAUCCUCGCGGGCCAGAUGAUGAUCAGAAUGAAGAAGAUUAUGACGGCUCCGAAUAUCUAAACAACACCGCGGAGGGUGAUAUGAUAUUCGAUCGCGACGACCGAAUUGAUGAAGUCAUGAACUAUGAACAUGACAAAGAAAAUGUUGAUCUUGAAACAACAAAGACCGGCGAGCUAUAUUUAUAUAAGCAGGCAUCUGGUGAUCAUCACAUGUUUUAAAUGACUUGAAGAUAUAUUAAUGAAUCGAUCUUUCUUCUUUCAGCCAUCUGGAUCCGGCAAAUCUUCAGGCAGCACGACAGUACGAGGCCCGAACAAAAAGUUGAAGGAGGGCGUAAAGUACAAUAUCGAGGCCAUCAAACCUAAUGGCGAACCAUUAGCGCCUAAGAAGAUUGCGGACAAGUUCAUUCGUCAGUGCGGAGUUCUUGUGAAGGACCGACUCCCAAUCUCCCUUCAAGAAUGGAGAGAGCCAGCAAAGCCACGUCCAGAUCCCCUUACUUUUGUCGAUGACAGACAAAAACUUCUGCUUUGGGAAACGCUCAUGGAACAUUUCACCCUACCAGAUCAUUUCACAGAUGCAGAUGUGGAGAAAGUCAAGGACGCUGCUCUUAGGAAGAUGGCGGUUGUGUUCAACAACCACAAGAAUCGUGUAUGGGACCAGUACGUCAAGGGAGGAAAGAAGACUCCAGUAUUCAAGGGAACACUAGAGAAGCAAAGUGCUCACUGGGACGAUUUCAUGAAAUUCAAGGAAUCAGAAUUAUCUAAGGAACGGUCGAGAAUAAACAAGGCCAAUGCCGCAAAAAAGGAUAAGUUCCAUAAGUUGGGGCCAGGUGGCUAUGCGGCAGGAAUGCCUAAGUGGGAUAAGUCUGAGAAAGAGAUGGCGGAUGCAGGUGUCACUCCAGAAACAUUGAGCUGGCCCCUCAGGUGCAGGACUUGGUUCUAUGCGCAUGGGGGGGUGGACCCGAAGACAGGCAAAGUUUUGAAGAAGGCAUGUCUGGACGGAGCCGAAGAUAAGCUACUUGUUGCAAUAGAAUAGGCUUGAUCGGGGGUGUUCGAGCCCAACAGAGAGAACGACGAGCUUACGCGUGCCCUGGGAAAUCCUGAACAGUCGGGAAGAACACGGGGCAAGGGCGCUAUUCCGUGGUAUGAGGGGUUUUCGAACUGGAAUGCCGACUACAGAACCCGUGCGAGAAAGAAGAUUGCAGAGGAGAAGAAGAGGAAGAUGGAGGAGGAGCAGAGGAAGCUAGACUAUGAACGCCUUCAAGGCCUUGAAUCAGCGCACGUGGACUUGGCAGUCAAAUUCCAGCAGCAGCAGGAGCAGAUUGACUCACUUAGCCAGCAAAGGGGGUCUCAGCAGCUGCUGCAGCUAGCGGAUGAUCCAAUAUUGGAUAGCACCGUCCCAUCCAUGCCGAGAAGCAACAUGGGUUCUACCCCGGGCGACGCAUUGCUAGAUAGCUACCCAGUGGAUGACAUCAUGGAGAAAACUAACUACGAGCUACACUUCAAAAUGAAGAACAUAUCCAUGAAGGUGGCGGACGUCGUUGCUUUUACAAAUCCCCCCGAGGCAACCUUCCAUUGCAACCCGAUUCCAGCAGGCUAUGCUCGUGUCUUAGUUGAUGAGGUGGUGGACCAAUAUUCGGGGCUAGAGCUUGACAUUCCUGGAGGUGACGAGGGGCACACACUGGGAGAGGCCAACCAUCUUAUCAUCCUAUGGAGAAAGGAUUGCAUCAUCUUUCGAAGGCCACCGACACCGCGUCAUCCGACUUCUCGUCGAAGUCCGCCACCGAGUCAGCAGACUCCCGCUCCUCCAAGUCCACCAAAGCAUCAGGCCACUCCUCCUCCAAGUCCGGCACAACUUCAGGCCACUCCUCCUCCUCCAAGUCCGGCAAAGCGUCAGGCCACUCCUCCUCCAAGUCCGGCACAGCUUCAGGCCACUCCUCCUCCUCCAACUCAGCCACGUUAGACGUCUUCGCCACCUCAGCAAUCACGGAAGAGAGCCGCCUCAGCUAUGGUGCGUAGUGGUACAAGUCGAGGUAGUACUGGAGGUACAGGCGGAGGCAAGCGAUUUCAAUAUGGUCCAAGCAGCCUCGCGCCUCUUCCGCACAGGCCUUACGACAAGUCCGGGGAGGAAAACGCAGCCAUAUCGAAGGCCGAGGUGGAAGCCCAUUUUGCACCGAAACCGCCACCGGCGCCAAGGGAGAAAGUGCCUGAGGAAAGGAUUAACCACUUCAUUCGUAUGUCUAGAGCACCAGCUCCCAAGCCUGUUGACACAGACUAUGAGCACCACCUCAGGAAGUUAAAUCGAGCACGUCUACAGAAAGAGGCAAGCUCGAGCUCGAGCAAAUCAGCUGGCAAAAGGAGCAGUAAAACCGUUCCCCAGCUGGGAGAACAGGCGGCGCAAUCAAUCCCCCGCUUGUUGUGCCAACAACACAUGAGAGUAUGCGCGCCCAAUAUUAUUGUGGGCAAACCGUUAAUGUUCGCGGGCUGGGCGAUGUGGUAAUAACCGAGGAGCAUAUUGAGCUGGCUAAAAGGCUCAUGAUCACUGUUGGACAACUCCUCGAUAUCGAGCCCAUGUCUCUGAUUAGAGAGGAGGAAGUAAAACAUAAAUAUGUUCGGGGCCAACCUUUGGUCGAGCCAGACGAGGUCAAGAAGCUCCCAACGAGAAUGUAUGAAUUGCAUCAAUGGUACAUGGACAUUACCAAGAUUUCCAAUCGAGAGUCCCUCAUGGUGAAUGUCAAUAAGGAUCAUUACUACCAUGAGAAAGCUGUGUCCGUUGAGUAUUCAGAACUAUUUCAGUUAUACAAUCAAGGUGCACUCGACAAAUCUAUCAUCAGUUGCUAUUGUCUGUAAGUGAUUUCUUUCUAUAAUUUAAGUCUCAAGCUAGCUGUAGUGAUCAUUUUGAUCAAUCAUUACCUAUAAUUAUCCUCGCUAUAUUCUUUUCUGUGGUAUUAUGCAGGAUGAAGAUUUAUGAAAUGAAAAAAGGUGGACGCUAUGGCAUUGGGUUCAUUGACCCAAAUACCAUUAAUGAAUACACAUGGAAAUUAGAUCCAUAUUAUGAAAAAAGUGUAGAGGAAAGCAUGCUAGAGUUCUUCAAGCGCCUCAAAUACAAUGAAGAUAUACUACUUCCUUACAACUUCGAGUGAUUCACACUGUCUUAUACUACAAAUUCUGUUUUUGCCUACUAGCUAGCUACAUGUUUUUGCUUACAUAUGCCCGCUUAAUUAAGACAUGCAAACGUGUGUGCAUGCAGAUUUCACUGGAUCUUGUUAAUUAUUAAAGUUGACGAAGGAACAGUUGAAAUACUGGACUCACUACUUAAAAAAGCAAGUGACUACACCAUCGUGAAGGGGAUAGUCAACAGGUAAUUUCAAUCAUUAUUAACUAUAUCUCGGCCUAUUUAAUUAGUUCGUCAUUUCCUGAUAACAACUAUUUAAUAACCCAUUUAUUCAUUUUCUUUGUCAGCGGGCAGGGCUUGGGCAAAGUUCAUCAGCAUCACUCCAGGCCAAUGGAAACGAAAUCUGAAUUGGUAUCGACCCAAGGUAAGUAAUUAAGUAGUACUAGCUAGCUUCCAUCUCUUUAAUUAUCAUGUUUGAUUAAUUAUUAUCUGAUCAAAUUCCAUUCUCGUAAAGGCCCUGAAGCAGGCACCGGGGAAUAAUCUGUGCAUACUACGUUUGCGAGAACAUUCGCAUGAUGGCGUCCGAAAGGAGCAGAUCUCAAAGACAGGAGUGGGUACGUUUGUCAGAACACUAUUCACAAUUUUUACACCAUUAUCGAUAUCUAGUCAUACAACUAAUACACAUGCAUAUUGAUCUCCUUCUUAAUAGUUCAAAGAGGUGCGGGAGCAGCUCCUAGCAGAGGACCGCAUAGAAGCAAUUAAAGAGGAAAUAGCGGGAUUUUUGCUCGACCAGGUCUAGAUCCCAAAGGAGAAUACUUUUACCCGCUACCGCCCCCAUGAACCACUUCCAAUUGUCAUCGUGCUUCGAAGGCACCAAUUAGGCUAAUGCCACUGGCUCCAAAGUCACCAAUUAGGAGAAAUUGUAUAUAGCUACCUAAUUUUAUACAUAUAUACAUGUGUGUAUAUAUGUGUGAAUUAAUGGUGGCUGUGAGACAUUCGAUGAUAUAUAUAUAUAUGAUCGGUUCUACUAGAAAUUCUAUUUAUAUAUAUGCAUAACGUGUACAAUAUGUAGCAUCAUAAAAUACCAGGAAACAAAAAAGAAUUAAAUGGAAAACACAAAAUUAAAUGAAAAAGAAAUCAUAAACCCAAACCCCCCCAACCUUUUAAUACCGGUUGGUGUCACCAACCGGUACUAAAGGGCUCCCUACCCCCGGAGCUGGCUCGUGCCACGUGGUUGCCCUUUAGCACCGGUUCGUGCUGAACCGACACUAAAGGGGGGACCUUUAGUGCCCACACUUUAGUAUCGGUUACCAAACCGGGACUAAAGGGCCUUACGAACCGGUGCUAUUGCCCGGUUCUGCACUAGUGUUAUAUCUUUUAGAGCACGGUGGUGGUUUUAUUUUAUAGAAAUUAUUGAUCUCUCAUGCUUCACUUAUAUUAUUUUGAGAGUCCCUUAGAACAUCAUGGUAGUUUGCUUUGGCUAUAAAAUUGGUCCUAAUAUGAUAGGCAUCCAAGAUGGGUAUAAUAAAAACUAUCAUAAAAAGUGCAUUGAAUACUAUGAGAAGUUUGAUACUUGAUAAUUGUUUUGAGAUAUAAAGGUGGUGAUAUUAGAGUUGUGCUAGUUGAGUAGUUGUGAAUUUGAGAAAUACUUGUGAUGAAGAUUGCAAGUCCUGUAGCAUGCACGUAUGGUAACCGUUGUGUAACAAAUUUGAAACAUGAGGUGUUCUUUGAUUGUCUUCCUUACGAGUGACGGUCGGGGGUGAGCGAUGGUCUUUUCCUACCAAUCUAUCCCCCUAGGAGCAUGCGCAUAAUGCUUGGUUUUUGAUGACAUGUAGAUUUUUGCAAUAAGUAUGUGAGUUCUUUAUGACUAAUGUUGAGUCCAUGGAUUAUACGCACUCUCACCUUUCCAUCAUUGCUAGCCUCUUCGGUACCGUGCAUUGCCCUUUCUCACCUUGAGAGUUGGUGCAAAUUUCGCCGGUGCAUCCAAACCCCAUGAUAUGAUAUGCUCUAUCACACAUAAACCUCCUUAUAUCUUCCUCAAAACAGUCACCAUACCUACCUAUUAUGGCAUUUCCAUAGCCAUUCCGAGAUAUAUUGCCAUGCAACUUUCCAUCGUUUCAUUUAUGACACACUUCAUCAUUGUCAUAUUGCCUUGCAUGAUCAUGUAGUUGACAUCGUAUUUGUGGCAAAGCCACGAUGCAUAAUUUAUCAUACAUGUCACUCUUGAUUCAGUGCCCUUCCCGGUACACCGCCGGAGGCAUUCAUAUAGAGUCAUAUUUUGUUCUAGUAUCGAGUUGUAAUCAUUGAGUUGUAAAUAAAUAGAACAGUGAUGAUCAUCAUCAAUAGAGCAUUGUCCCAAAAAAUGGAAAGGCCAAAAAAAGAAAUAAAAAGGGACAAUGCUACUAUCCUUUUUUCCACACUUGUGCUUCAAAGUAGCGCCAUCAUCUUUAUGAUAGAGAGUCUCUUGUUUUGUCACUUUCAUAUACUGGUGGGAAUUUUUCAUUAUAGAACUUGGCUUGUAUUCCAACAAUGGGCUUCCUCAAAUGCCCUAGGUCUUCGUGAGCAAGCAAGUUGGAUGCACACCCACUUAGUUUCUUUUGUUGAGCUUUCAUACAUUUAUAGCUCUGGUGCAUCUGUUGCAUGGCAAUCCCUACUCCUUGCAUUGACAUCAAUUGAUGGGCAUCUCCCUAGCCCGUUGAUUAGCUGCGUCGAUGUGAGACUUUCUCCUUUUUUGUCUUCUCCACAUAACCCCCAUCAUCAUAUUCUAUUCCACCCAUAGUGCUAUAUCCAUGGCUCACGCUCAUGUAUUGCAUGAAAAUUGAAAGAAGUUUGAGAUUACUAAAGUAUGAAGCAAUUGCUUGGCUUGUCAUCGGGGUUGUGCAUGAUGAGAGCAUUCUUGUGUGACGAAAAUGAAGCAUGACCAAACUAUAUAAUUUUGUAGGGAUGAACUUUCUUUUGCCAUGUUAUUUUGAGAAGACAUGAUUGCUUAGUUAGUAUGCUUGAAGUAUUAUUAUUUUUAUGUCAAUAUUAAACUUUUGUCUUGAAUCUUUAGGAUCUGAACAUUCAUGCCACAAAAAAGAAAAUUACAUUGAGAACUAUGCUAGGUAGCAUUCCACAUCAAAAAUUCUGUUUUUAUCAUUUACCUACUCGAGGACGAGCAGGAAUUAAGCUUGGGGAUGCUUGAUACUUCUCCAACGUAUCUAUAAUUUUUUAUUCUUCCAUGCUAAUAUAUUAUCUGUUUUGGAUGUUUAAUGGGCUUAUUUAUACACUUUUAUAUUAUUUUUGGGACUAACCUACUAACCCAAGGCCUAGUGCAAAUUGUUGUUUUUUGCCUAUUUCAGUAUUUCGCAGAAAAGGAAUAUCAAACGGAAUCCAAACGGAAUGAAACCUUUGGGAGAGUUAUUUUUGGAACAAACGUGAUCCAGGGUACUUGGAGUAGACGUUAAGAAAGAAGCGAGGAAGCCACGAGGCAGGGAGGCGCGCCCCCCACCCUCGUGGGCCCCUCAAAGCUCCACCGACCUACUUGUUCCUCCUAUAUAUGUCCAUUAUACCCCGAAAACAUCUAGGAGCACCACGAAACCCUAUUUCCACCGCUGCAACCUUCUAUACCCAAGAGAUCCCAUCUUGCGGCCUUUUCCGGAGCUCCACUGGAGAGGGAAUCGAUCACAGAGGGCUUCUACAUCAACACCAUAGCCUCUCCGAUGAUGUGUGAGUAGUUUACCAUAGAACUUCGGGUCCAUAGUUAUUAGCUAGAUGGCUUCUUCUCUCUCUUUGGAUCUCAAUACAAAGUUCUCCUCGAUCUUCUUGGAGAUCUAUUCGAUGUAAUUCUUUUUGCGGUGUGUUUGUCGAGAUCCGAUGAAUUGUGGUUUUAUGAUCAAGUUUAUCUAUGAACAAUAUUUGAUUCUUCUCUGAAAUCUUUUAUUUAUGAUUGGUUAUCUUUGCAAGUCUCUUCGAAUUAUCAGUUUGGUUUGGCCUACUAGAUUGAUCCUUCUUGCAAUGGGAGAAGUGCUUAGCUUUGGCUUCAAUCUUGCGGUGUCCUUUCCCAGUGAUAGUAGGGGUAGCAAGGCAUGUAUUGUAUUGUCGCCAUCAAGGAUAAAAAGAUGGGGUUUAUAUCAUAUUGCUUGAGUUUAUCCCUCUACAUCAUGUCAUCUUGCCUAAUGCAUUACUCUGUUCUUAUGAACUUAAUACUCUAGAUGCAUCCUGGAUAGCGGUCAAUGUGUGGAGUAAUAGUAGUAGAUGCAGAAUCGUUUUGGUCUACUUGUUGCAGAAGUAAUGCCUAUAUACAUGAUCAUGCCUAGAUAUUCUCAUAAUUAUGCACUUUUCUAUCAAUUGCUCGACAGUAAUUUGUUCACCCACCGUAAUACUUAUGCUAUCUUGAGAGAAGCCACUAGUGAAACCUAUGGCCCCCGGGUCUAUCUUUUAUCAUAUAAGUUUCCAAUCUAUUUUACUUUGCAAUCUUUACUUUAAAUAUAUAUCAUAAAAAUACCAAAAAUAUUUAUCUUAUUAUCUCUAUCAGAUCUCACUCUCGUAAGUGACCGUGAAGGGAUUGACAACCCCUUUAUCGUGUUGGUUGUGAGGUUCUUAUUUGUUUGUGUAGGUACGUGGUACUUGCGUGUAGUCUCCUACUAGAUUGAUACCUUGGUUCUGAAAAACUGAGGGAAGUACUUACGCUACUUCACUGCAUCACCCUUUCCUCUUCAAGGGAAAACCAAUGCAGUGCUCAAGAGGUAGCAGCUAGUCCCUUUAUUUAUGCUCGGUAGGCUCAGUUCUCCGGCAACAAAAUAAAAGGGUACCGGUGGGAUACCCUGCCGGGGAAAACUCGUUUAUUUAAAUAAAGAGGCAUUCCACCUCUGCAUGGACUUAUACAUGCACGAGUUCCCAAGAAGGUUCAUCUUUUUCGUUAAUAUGCUGAUUAUACAAGUACAAACCUUACAGAACACAGACAUGGACUUGAGAGAUUACAUUAUUUGAACUAAAAUUUGGCAAGUGUCGAUAGAUUUAAGAUUGAAAAAAGAUAAGUGCCCCGGGAUGCCUUUGCCCUUGUUCAUCUCCUUCAGGAAGGGGUUGAUGACCCACAAGUAUAGGGGAUCAAUUAUAGCUCUUUUCGAUAAGUAAGAGUGUCGAACCCAACAAGGAGAAGAAGGAAUUGACAAGUGGUUUUCAGUAAGGUAUUGUCUGCAAGCGCUGAAAUUGUAAGAAGCGAGUAGUUUGAUAGCGAGAUAAUUUGUAACGAGCAAGUAACAAUAAUAGUAACAAAAGUGCUGCAAGGUAUCCCAAUCCUUUUGAGGCAAAGGACAGGCCAAAACGGUCUCUUAUGAUAAGCAAAGCGCUCUUGAGGGUACACCGGAAUUUCAUCUAGUCACUUUCAUCAUGUUGGUUUCAUUUGUGUUCACUACUUUGAUAAUUUGAUAUGUGGGUGGACCGGUGCUUAGGUGUUGUUCUUACUUGAACAAACCUCCUACUUAUGAUUAACCCUCCCGCAAGCAUCCGCAACUAUAAGAAAAGUAUUAAGAAUAAAUUCUAACCAUAGCAUUAAACUUUCGAAUCCAAUCGGUCCCUUACCGAAUAGCGCAUAAACUAGGGUUUACGCUUCUGUCACUCUCGCAACCCACCAUCUAAUUGCUACUCCAUAAUGCAUUCCCUUAGGUCCAAAUAUGGUGAAGUGUCAUGUAGUCGACGUUCACUUGACACCACUAAGGGAAUAACAACAUUCAUACUAUCAAAAUAUCGAACAGAUAUCAAGUUCACAUGAUUACUUGCAGCAUGAUUUCUCCCGUGACCUCAAGAACAAAAGCAACUACUAACAAAUGAUAAACAUGUUCAUGAUCAGAGGAGUAUUAAAUAGCAUAGUGGAUCUGAACAUAUAAUCUUCCACCAAUUAAACCAUAUAGUAAUGAACUACAAGAUGUAAUCAACACUACUAGUCACCCACAAGUACCAAUCUAUAGUUCUGGUAACAAGAUUGAACACAAGAGAUGAACUAGGGUUUGAGAGGAGAUGGUGUUGUGAGAGGUUGAUGGAGAUUCCCUCCCCGGGAUGGGAGAGUUGUUGGUGAUGAUGAUGACGAUGAUUUCCCCUUCGGGAGGGAAGUUCCCCCGGCGGAAUCGCUCCGCCGGAGGGCAAAACUGCUCCUGCCCAAGUUCUGCCUCGAGGCGUUGACGCUUCAUCCCGAAAGUCCUCAUCUUAUUUUUUUUUCUAGGUCAAAAUGACUUAUAUACCAAAAGAUGGGUACCAGAAGUGGGUAGAGGAGGCCACAACCCACCAGGGCGCACCUGGGGUACCUGGCACGCCCAGGUGGCUUGUGCCCACCUGGUGGCCCCCCUCUGGUGUUUAUUGGCUCCAGUAUUUAUUAAAUAAUCCAUAAAAAAUCUCCGUGAAGUUUCAGCUCAUUUGGAGUUGUGCAGAAUAGGUAGCCUGACGUAGCUUUUCUAGGUCCAGAUUUCCAGCUGCCGGAAUUCUCUCUCUUGGUGUGUUCCUUGCAAAUUAUGAGAGAAAAGGCAUUGCAAUUACUCCAAAAAGCAUUAUUAUGGAUAAAAACAUUAUAAAUAACAGUAAGAAAACAUGAUGCAAAAUGGACGUACCAUGGCUCCAUUGGCGGCCCGGUACGGCCCAGUUCGGGAGCAACAACACAAGACCUUCGCGAGGGGCCAAGCCUCGCGAGGCAGACGACACCAAGACCUCCCUGGGGCGGCCUCACGAGGCUGGCUCCCGAGGAGCGGAGAUAUAUAUGCAGGGCGCAUCUCGCAAGGUUCACAUGAUGUGAGCCAUGAUGACCAAGGCCAGGCGGGCACUAGCGGGCGCGGUGUACUAGUUUCCUCUUUGGUGCUAAGGAGACAAGCGCAGGCUCGGAGUCCCGAGGAAUCGAGCAAAGGUUUCCAUAUUGGUGCAACAAGACAAAGACUGUCAGGACAGCAGGACGGAGGUCAUCGCGGAGCCCAUGACAGCGUCACCACCAGAUCCUUUUGCAAGUGAAGACUACUUUUGUCAGGAUAACUUGUACUAGUGGUCUCCCUUCGAAAUUGGCCGUUGUGGGAUCACUUCCCGCCAACAUUUGGGAAGAGGACCAAGUCCACUAUAAAUAGGACUUAGCCACCACCAUAGAGGGGGGGAUCAGAUCUUUCAGACCAUCCUCACACUCACCACCUCAUCAAGCUCGAGAACACCUCACCUCCUGAGGCUGUUCACCCACUGUACUAGUUAACCCCCAGCCCCUCGAGGCAAUCCACCAUAAAGCUGGAGUAGGGUAUUACACCGCAAGGUGUCCCGAACCAGGAUAAAUCAUUGUGUCUCUCGUUCUUUGGGUUCGUCAAGUCUAGCUGUGGAAUCGUUGGGCCCGCAAGCUGAGGAGUAGGAGUUCUUCGUACACACCCCAGUGUUUGAACCUCUCAAGGGUCUGUGGAGCCCUGAAUCCGACAUUUGGUGCGUCAGGUAGGGGUGCGUCGAAGCCUCUCUUCCGACGGUCGACUCACCGCCGCUCCACUGUCCUCAUGGCAGAUGCUCGCUGAGCCCGUGCUGAGCGUCGAGUCGCUCUCGCCACGCGCGUUUCCCAGAUGGCGCCCGUCGGCGGGCCUCCCCAUCGUGCUCCAUCACCAGCCGCCAACACCGUCACCGGCCCGGCGGGGCACGAGCAGCAAGCUUCAUCGCAGCAUACCUACAUGCAGCGGGACGGAUGCACCACCACCCCAUUGCUGACUCCGGCCAGCUCAUCGUCCCAUGCUCAUCACGGCCCAACGAACGCGCAUGCCUUGUUGCUCAUGGUGCUGAGCUCCUGUGCUACUGCCCCGUCGACGACCUCUACGAAGACUGGCCGGACCGCAUUGCCGAGCUAGUCAGCGCGGUUGGGGGCUCGCCUGCACCUUCCCUCUCGUUGCCUCGUCCGCCACCUGCUGCGGACGACGUAGCCCAUGGAGCGCCUCUGCCACCUCCUCAUCAGGACGUCGCCCUCGGCCCAAGACGCAUGCCCCCUCGGUGCGACCCACCGUGCUAGGCGCCCGCGCGUGAGGAAGAAAGCUGCCGAGAGGUCCAGUGGCCGCAAGAAGGUGCUCCAGCGCUUCCUCCACCACCAUGUCAAGACCACGCGCCACCUGCAGCGGUGGUGCGUGAGCGCCAAGAUCAGGCCCCACCUCCGUGACGGGCCCCGGUGACCACAGCAGGCUGUCGCGCCUUCACCCCUGAGCUACGUAGCGUCGUCUGGCUAGCCAAGUUCAAGCCUGACCUUCCUCCAUGCUACGACGGCACCCCCGGCCCUGCGGAGUUCCUGCAGCUCUACGAGCUACGCAUUGAGGCGGUCAUCGGCGACAAGAAGGUCAUGGCGAACUGGUUCCCCAUGGCCCUCAAGGAUGGUGCACACUCAUGGCUCCUGAACCUGCCCGCGGGAUCAAUCUCCUCCUGGGGCGAGAUGCGCAAGCGCUUCGUCGCAACCUUCCAAGGUACUCGCGACCGCCCGCCUGCCGCAGGUGACCUACGGCGCAUCAAGCAACAUCCUGGGGAGACCCUGCAGAAGUACAUCCAACACUUCAACAGCGUUCGCCUCAGGAUCCCCAAAGUUUCUGACGAAGCCAUCAUCUUGGCGUUCUCCUAUGGCGUCCGCGAUGUCAAGAUGAAGGAGGAGCUCGCCAUCCACGAGGACUUGUGCACGGCCCUGGAGAUGUUCAACAUGGCUACCAAGUGCGCGAGGGCCGAGGAGGGGCUCCACUCCCUCCUCAAGUUCCCAGCUAUUGACCCAGAAGACAAGAAGGCCAAAGUCAAGGACGUGCAUCGCAAGGGAGCUGUCGUCCUCAUGGCCGAACCAGAGAUGAAGCGCGGCUGCAACCACCCAGAGUCGUCCAAGGGUAGCCGUCCAUUCUGCGUCUUCCACAAUGUACACAACCAUAACACCAACGAUUGCCAUGAGCUUAGGGCCAUCCGCGAUGGGCGCCUCGGUCGACGCCCCAAGCGCAAUGACCGAGGCUACGGCUGCGGAGGAAGCAGAAGUGGAGGAUGUUGGGACGACCGCGGCCCCCACCAGGAGUGGCGCAACCAGCCUCGUUAGGAUUGCUGGCAAGGCCAGCCUCGCGAGGGCAUCUAGAGAGGCCAGCCUCGUGAGGGAGCCUAGAGAGGUCAGCCUGGUGAGGACCAUCCUUAGGGCAAUGCUGGCCUCCCUCCACUACCACCACCACCAAGACGAGGGGGCUCGAGGCUUCCAGGAGCCUCGCACCAUCGCCUGCAUCUUGGGUGGCGCUCAGGCCCCAGCCUCCCGCCACAUCUUCAAGCAGUUCGCUCGUGCGGUCAACAUGGGCCUUCCCAGGCUCGAGGCCAUGCACCCACUUAGGUGGUCCAGGUGCACCAUCACCUUCAGCUCGUCCGACCAGCUCAAGUGCGCGGCAACUGCCGGCGCUGUCCCAAUGUUCUGCUCGCCCGUUAUCACCAACGUCCUUCUCACCAAGACCCUCAUCGAUGGUGGCGCGGGGCUCAAUGUUCUUUCCAUCGAGAUGUUCGACCGGCUCCAAGUGUCGUAUGAUCAGCUGCAGCCCACCAAGCCUUUCUCAAGAGUGACCGAUGGUUCUGCCACUCUGAUAGGUCAGAUCCGCCUCCCUGUCACCAUUGGCCAGCGUGACAACUACCGCACCGAGCUCAUCGACUUCGACGUCGCUCACAUUCGCCUCACGUACAACGCCAUCCUUGGGUAUCCGGCCCUGGCUAAGUUCAUGGCGGUGCCCCACCAUGUCUACAAUGUCCUCAAGAUGCCAAGGAGCCACGACAUCGUCGCGACGCUUGCGAGGAGAAGGACGCGGUGUGCUCUCUCGAGCGCGCCUACCAGACUACGACAGUGGAAGACCCAGACAACGAAGGCGCCAUCUACCCUCCCGAGGCUGUCCCCAAGAAGAAAAAGCAGAUACUCCGUCAAGAGCCUCAUGAGAGCAGCAUCUCCAGCGGCACCACCUCAGUACCAGCGCCCAUGGAUGGGGUGGCUCCCUCUCUCGCAUAGGAAGGUGCGCCCGAUGCCCUCCUCGGGCUGGGCUCGAGGGCUCCCUUCUAGAGGGCCUCUGACCUGGCCAAUGCCAUGAGGGAGGCGCUCAGGCACCACGUGGAGGCAUGAUUCGCCGCACGCUUCCCUCACGAGCGCACUAGGCACAAGGUGCCAAGAGCCCAGGAGUUCAUCUCCAAGACGACCGAGGAGCUUCAAGAGGCAAGAGCCAUGCGCGGCGACCGCCGCCCACCACCUAACGCAGCUCCUUGUCCCGGCAAAGACAACAAGCUGCGCGGCUAUGUCAACAUCCCCGGGCUCAACAGAGUUGCAACUCAGCAGUGCUUCUGGCCUUCGCACGCUGGUCGGUGUGAGGGCCCACCUCACUGCUACGUUCGCAUGCCCUUUGGCUUGCCGAACGCGGCUGCCGCCUUCCAGCGUCGCUUGCAAAGCAUCGUGGUUGCUCAGGAGGCCAGGUGCAACGUGGUCCUGGCGGAGGUAGCAACAGUCCUUCACGAACCUCCAGAGCCUCCCGAGGUUCAAGGCCAAGGCGGCUCGUGAGGAGAAACCUCUUCAGGGCGCAUCUUCAGCUACUUCAACAUCUCUCUAGCAACGGCACCAGGUGACAUUUACCAGUUUAUUCAGUUGGGGGCACCCCUCGGGCUGCAUUAUCCCCAUGCCGCAUGGGCCUGUCCCUGCGGCGCCUAUCCUUUUUGCAUCUUUAGUUUACCUUGUUGGGUCCAUCCCUGUGGCAUGUAUCAUUCUUGCAUCUACCUGGACUAGCUUUAUCUUCUCCCAUGAGAUGAUUUAUGUUACUAACUACCUGCCAUACGCCUUUCGUGGAUCCCCACGUAGCUGACCGACCUCUUGCUCAUCGCGCGACGAGGGUUUCACAUGCUGGCACGGCGCUUGUGCUCGGGUCCGUUCCUGCAAUGCCGAUAAACCUGUGCGAUCGAGCUCUGGCUCAUGGCCCGCUCCACGCACGUCACCUCACUAGAUCCUCAGUGCCUUCAUCUUCUUGUGGAAAGAACAGCGGUAGGACAGCGACGCGAUUACGAGUCAUGCUCUUCUCUCGAACUAACCCACAAGAAUCUCCGGGGCUCAACUACAGGCGACCUCGCCGACCGCCCCUUUUCCUACACAAUUCACUUGUGCGUUAAAGGGGGGACUCCUGAGCAUCGCGCCUUGGGAGCCCUUACUGACUCUCCAACCCUCACCCCCUGGCCUUGAUCAUGGCAUCGUGACCUGGCAUACCAGCGGCGGCUGAGCCUCGCUUGAGGGUCAGGACCCGAGGACGCAGAGCAUUUAAAUGAGCGGCGGAAGGGGGGACCGGCGCAGCCCUACCUAUUAAUACCACCACUGAAGCACAAGCUGGGCUUUGUGCAAGGAAUCACCGUUGGGUUGCCAAAAGAUAAGUCCCCCAUACAUAACAAAGCGAAUCUCUCUGUCCAAAGCCCUCCGCUCCUGUAAACUCGCUCCGACAGUGCUGCUUUCCUUUUCGGCCUCCUGGGAGUUGCUUGCACGCCAAGGGGGACCUCCUGAGCAUCGCGCCUCAGGAGCUCUUACCGGACCUCGGGCCGCUCACCUCCUAGCCUUGACCACGGCAUCGUGACCUGGCAUACCAGCGACGGCUGGAACCUGCCUGGGGACUGGGCCUGACAGUGCAUGUAGAGCGCUAAAGCUACCGCAAGAUCAAAAAGGAGGAGUAAUGCCUAAGAGAGACACACAGCCACAAUCUCAUGUUAAGAGUAAUAAGCGAUGGAACAAAAGCAUUACAGGUUCUUUACAUGCCCCCUCACGGUUCAUUUUGAUUCCUCAUAGGGAACUAAAAAAAAGCAGCCUCGAGAAGCCCUGGCUAUGGGCACUGACACCGACGCCAUCGUCAACAGUGGGCCACGUGAGGCCGGCGCAAACCCCAUCCAGAUCACCGUUGGUGUCGGGAGGAGGCCGCCAUGGCGCUCCAGGCGUGGCAGGAGCUUGGGGGUACGUAGCUGUCGUCGCUCAUCUUCGGGGACUCGCUAGGCUCGGGAGAGUCACUAGACUCCCAGGAGUCGUCCCUGCUGCCGAGGAAGUCGUCGGCAGGACCCACAGUAGGCGCUGCGCCCGUCGCCUCUCCCUGCUGAUGGUCUCCCCUAGGGUAGCACUCUAAGCGGCGACCUUCCUCGUCGAAGACCUUGAAGAACAAUGUGGAGGCGCCGUCAUACUCGAAAUGGAUGGCGGGGGCCCCCUCCGCGCAGCAAGCGCGGGCGACCUCGCCCCAUCCCUGAGUCAUGAAGAUCUUGCCGGAGGAGACGACCUCAACCUCUGCUCCCGUGGCUAGACUGCAGCACUGGGCAUGCUGCAGCCACAGCUCGAGCGCCCCCCUCGGCAGCAUCUAUUUGGCGAAGAACUGCGGGAACCGGAUCCACGUGCACGGAGGCAUCGCCGCCCACUGCACGAACUCACGCAAGGAGGCCUCGGCGUGGGUUCGCAAGACGGACGGCCGCACGGCCCUAGCCUGGUCCCCACGGCUCGCGCGGCGUGGGACACUGCCACCUACUCCUAAGUCUGGUGCCUAGGCAUACGAAGGAAGUGGGAAGCCAGGGGGUGGCCGUCAUACCAGGGCCGUGUCACCUCCUGCCUCGCACCGACAUUGUGAGGGUGCUGGGACCUCUUCUUCGGCAGAAGUAGCUCGGGCUCCACGAGGGUGGUCUUCCCCUUCUCCGCUGUCGAAAACCUCUGAUCGGCGCCAUGGAUAUCUUGGCAAGUUAGCAAGAUGGAGGGACCAAGAGGAAGAAGGAGUGUACUGCGAGAAGACAGAGGUGAGCAAGGGGGGCUCCGCCCCUUCCCUCAUUUAUAGCCAAGGGGAGGCCAACCGCCGGUCACCACGAUCGCAUGUAAUGAUGAUUUUCCCUUUGCAUGCAGCGGCGUCUCGUCAAGUCGGACGGUUGCUGAGGCAGCGUGGGGAAGCGGAGAUGCCCACAUCCCAUCAAUCGCCACGCGUCGACCGAGGCCGCAGGCGGUUGGGGCCCGCGGUGCUCCGCACUUGCCCUUUGGCUUCGCCUCGAAGCCAAGCUCGAGCGCGCCUUGGGCCUGGGGGCUAUUGUCGGUGUUAUGGGGCCGGGGGUGCCAGACUUGCCUGCGUGCGGCCCGUAGCAUGGCUCCAUCAGCGGCCCGGUAGGGCCCAGUUUGGCAGCAACAACACAAGACCCUCGCGAGGGGCCAAGCCUCGCAAGGAGGACGACACCAAGACCUGGCGGCCUCAUUAGGCUGGCUCCCAAGGAGCGGAGAUAUCUAUGUAGGGCGCACCUCGCGAGGUUCACAUGGCGUGAGCCAUGAUGACCAAGGCCAGGCAGGCGCCAGCAGGUGCAAUGUACUAGUUUCCUCUUUGGUGCUAAGAAGGCAAGCGUAGGCGCGGAGUCCCGAGGAGUCGAGCAAAGGUUUCCAUAUUGGUGCAAUAAGACCAAGACCGCCAGGACGGCUGGACGGAGGUCAUCGUGGAGCCCACGGCAGCGUCACCACCAGAGCCUUUUGCAGGCGAAGACUACUUUUGUCAGGAUAACUUGUACUAGUUGUCUCCCUUCGAAAUUGGCCGUUGUGGGAUCAUUUCCCGCCAACAUUUGGGAAGAGGACCAAGCCCACUAUAAAUAGGACUUAGCAACCACCAUAGAGGGGGAGGGGGGUCGGAUCAUUCAGACCAUCCUCACACUCACCAGCUCAUCAAGCUGAAGAACACCUCACCUCCUGAGGCUGUUCACCCACUGUACUAGUUAACCCACAGCCCCUCGAGGCAAUCCACCACAAAGCCGGAGUAGGGUAUUACACCGCAAGGUGGCCCGAACCAGGAUAAAUCUCUGUGUCUCGCGUUCUUUGGGUUCGUCGAGUCUAGCUAUGUAAUUGUUGGGCCGGCAAGACGGGGAGUAGGAGUUGUUCGUACGCACCCGAGUGUUCGAACCUCUUAACGGUCUGCGGAGCCUUGAAUCCGACAGAUUAUAUCAAAACUUGUCUUAAAUUUGAAAAAAAAUAUAAUAUCACAGUCCAUUGGUGUCCAUAUGAUCCCACGAUAAGUUUCAUGAAUUGCAACUUAGUUUUGGAUUUACUGGAUUUUAAAAGGAAAACGUUUAUAAUCAUCCGACUUGUCUCUCUCUCUUUUAAGCCUCCUUCUCUAUGCGCCACGUGUGUGCGUCAGGCUGCGGCUGCCCACCGCUUCGCCCCAACCUUAUCUUAUCUCUAACGCAGCUCCUCCACUCGUUUCUUCUUCUUUCUUCCUUUUACAUCCCAUCGCCAAGAGAUUAGCCAUGGCGAGCAGCCGAGCACCACCACAACAGCUAGGAAAAUGGAAGAGUUAGACGCCGGCCGUCGGCACCAACAGCCGGAGCUCCUCCGUUGCAUCGCUGGAGGUGGCAUAGCGCACAUGGAGGGGAGCCAUGGUAAGGACCACCACAACAACGGGGAACCGGGAGGUGAUGCCGGUGAUACAAAUGGCGCUCGUCGAUGAACGCCGGUGCUGCAAUGCACCAACGCGUCCAUGGUCGCCGGUAUGCAACGCAACAACUUGUCCACGGCCAUCAUGGUGCGUUACAACCUCGUCCGUGAUGCAAUGCAACCUCGUGUGCCGUUGCAGUACUCGAGCGCCGGCGGCGGAGCUACAAUGGAGCUGCUCGGCUCAGGCGGCGGAGCUCCAAUGGAGCGCUCGGCGUAGGCGGCGGAGCUCCAAUGGAGCGCUCGACGCCGGCGGCAGAGCUGCAAUGGAGCCGCUCGGCGCAGGCGGCGGAGCUACAAUGGAGCCGCUCGGCGUAGGCGGCGGAGCUUCAAUGGAGCGCUCGACGCCGGCGACGGAGCUGCAAUGGAGCAGCUCGGCGCAGGUGGCGGAGCUGCAAUGAAGCUGCAAGUCGCCGGCUACGGAGCUGCAAUGGAGCGCUCGUCGACGCCUCCCCCCUGCUCCGAUGCACCACUCCCGCGACUGGUCCCGGUGCUCCAGCGCUGCACUUGUGAGUGGCUCGGUGCAGCGUCGUUGGCGGCUCUUGGGGGCAGCCCGUUGCAGUGAAGCGCUGCUGCCAUGCCUAGAGUCUAUGGUGUUGCCACGACCGGCGGCGGUAAUGUGUUUGCAAGGUGAGGAACGAGCUGAGCAGAGCCUGGUGCUGCGAGCGAGCGCGGCAUGGCGGCUGCGACUGCGAGCUAGACCAGGGCCGCUCGCUGGAGCUCACCGCGUCUAUCUCAGGAAUCGCGUGUGCGUGGGGAUUUUUUUGAAUUGGAUGCGACGCGAGGAAGACGAGGCCACGCGCGGCGUUCUAUUGUAUCAGGCUGGUCAUAGUGGGAGUAACAUAGACGCGACAUAAGCAAAAAUGAUGAUAUGGCAAGUAGUUAAUGAGGAAAGAGGCAAAUAGAGUAACAUAAUAUGUUACCAUCACAUAGCGGUUUCCAAUGCAUAAUGAGUCUACAAAGUAAUAAAUGAAGGCAACUAUGUUACCACACCUAUGACACUACCCACUAUGAAGGUAGUAAUAUAGACUAGUAAGAUAUGUAUGUUACUAGUCUAAGUUACUCCCCACUAUGACCAGCCUCAGAGCGACACGGUCUAGGUUGACUAAUCCAACGUAUCGAGGGAUUUGAUCGGACGGUUGGGGACCCGACUAAUUUCCCGAGGAAAUAAGUCGGAUGAUUCCUAGCAGCCGCCAUUUUAAAAUCGAGAUUCUCGAUGUUAGAAAUUUCUUGCAUCGGGACUAAACAUGCACCAGGGACACAUACACGUGUGAUUUUUCAAUUCAUUUUGGUGCACUAUUAUGUGUCUCAUGUAGUUUAAAUUUGAUUUUUGCACAUUAAAUCUCUGGGAAAUCAAUCAACCCGAAUUAUUAAAGCGCACCGUGCCUUGUCGUCCGAUCGAGGAGAUCGUGCGCGUCUCCCGGUCAGAAACCGACAGCGGUUCGCCUGAAUUAAAACCUGGGUCCCACAGAAUAAAUAGGCAGGUGAAACAGCCACGUACCAGCAAAUGACGACGACCCCUCCCCAAAAUUCCCCAAUCCACCUUCGAGCAGAGAAGAACAGCGAGGCGGAGAUAACGAUGGGAAGGAGCAGGGCGGCGCGAUUCGGCGAAGAUUCUUCGUGUUUCAUUUCCACGACCCCACUCCCCUCGCGCGAACGCCGGCGGCGCGGGUGGGCUGCCGCAGCGGCUUCAAGGGAUCUGGCGACAUGGGAAGUUGAGGCGCGGGUGGGUUGUCGGAGCGCUCGAGGCGCAUUGCACACGUAAAUCAAUGGCGACUGCUGAGCUAAGUAGCCCAUCCUUCCUUCUCCCUCUGUACAUAAUGAUUCUUGGUCGCGGGGGAGGCGGGUCGUAAGGGGAGGUCAUCGAUGGGAGUCUACGCGGCGAGGGAGCGCGGCGCGCACAAGCAUUUUCACGUGGGUGAAUGGGAAAGGGGGAGGGGCGUUGCAGACUUACGUUGCAAACCCAUCGGCGAGUUGCAGAUGAGGGAGAGUGAGGGAGGAUGGCGUUUUACAUAGGACUAGACGAGNNNNNNNNNNNNNNNNNNNNNNNNNNNNNNNNNNNNNNNNNNNNNNNNNNNNNNNNNNNNNNNNNNNNNNNNNNNNNNNNNNNNNNNNNNNNNNNNNNNNNNNNNNNNNNNNNNNNNNNNNNNNNNNNNNNNNNNNNNNNNNNNNNNNNNNNNNNNNNNNNNNNNNNNNNNNNNNNNNNNNNNNNNNNNNNNNNNNNNNNNNNNNNNNNNNNNNNNNNNNNNNNNNNNNNNNNNNNNNNNNNNNNNNNNNNNNNNNNNNNNNNNNNNNAAGUUUGUUGCUCAGGAUGGCUGUACGAGUUGCUUAAAAAAAUAAGAUGACAGAGGUACUACGCAUAGAUUUGAGGUUUGUUGAUUCUAUCUAAAGGACCAUGCAUACAGCGGUCGAUCUCUAUAUAUGGGAUGUGACUGACUAGGAAGGUGAAGGACAGGAAAGCGUCACUUUGUUAGUUUCUGAAUCUUUCUGAAUUGAUGUUUGCAUGACUUAGUUGUUUGUUGUUGCCUAAAUAUUUAUUAGUGCACCUGCACUAAUUGGAGCCCCUGAGCGCACAGCCUGAUUAAAAUCGCGCUGCGCAGGUUGUUUCCUAUCGGAACUGACGUGCACGCGGGGGCGAGGGAGAUACCGUGUUAGAAGAGGCCGAUGAAUCAGCGUCCGUCUCUCACCCACCCACCCACCAUCCUGACACGUUCUCUCCUCUCUCUCUCUCUCUUUCUCUCUCCUAUCCGUCGUUCUCGAAACUGCCUGAGAAGAGAGAGGGUUUGAGAAGAUGGAGCGCCCCGAACUCGAGACUGAGUGGGGGGCGGAGGUACCACCAACCGGAGGAGGGGAGCGGGGGGCAGCUCUCCGUCCGCGCCGCGACCGCAAAACUGAAGGACCGAGGGCCAGAGUGCCGCCCGUGCCGUGACCACCAAGCGGAGGAGCAAGGGCCGGAGUGCCCGUCCCAAAGCACUCUGNNNNNNNNNNNNNNNNNNNNNNNNNNNNNNNNNNNNNNNNNNNNNNNNNNNNNNNNNNNNNNNNNNNNNNNNNNNNNNNNNNNNNNNNNNNNNNNNNNNNNNNNNNNNNNNNNNNNNNNNNNNNNNNNNNNNNNNNNNNNNNNNNNNNNNNNNNNNNNNNNNNNNNNNNNNNNNNNNNNNNNNNNNNNNNNNNNNNNNNNNNNNNNNNNNNNNNNNNNNNNNNNNNNNNNNNNNNNNNNNNNNNNNNNNNNNNNNNNNNNNNNGCGCGAGGGUGUUUGUUCUUCUGUUCUUGCCGAAACUGAAACUGAAACGCUGUGCAUGCCAAACUUCAGAAAGCAUGUACGCGGAGAACACCAGUACAUAUUCCAAGAACAGGUGCGCAAGCAUCCAGAUUCCACAAUCUUUGCAUCCUUUGUACUACCUUUACAACUUUCAAAAUCACCAAACGAAUUAUCAACCUCUACAUUCUGUACAGAUUCAUUUUCAAUGUUCAUAAACUUUGCAUCCUUUUGCACAUCAUUACAAUGUUCAGAAACAGCACGAUACCACCCUUGUUUGGUCCUAUUCACACAACCUAUCCAAAUACUUGUUCUGAACCUAGAUAGAUUUGGAUGUUAAUGACAGGAAUGACGAGAGCGAGACUGGGCGCAACAUGCCAACAAUUGUACUUGGAUUAUUGCUUGUAGACAGUCAUUAUGACCUUUUUGUGCUAGAACAGUUUAAUUAGAAAUCUGAUGUGCCAUUCAUGAAUGCCAGAGAAGUUUGGCACUUGACAGUCAGUUUAGCCUAUAAAAAAGAUCCGCAUCCCCCGGGAUUAGUAGUUGUUGGACGCGGCAUAAGAGUUGCUCAAAAUUGAUCACGGGAAAUCCAUGUACCAAUGUAAUUUUCUUUACUCUCUAUUCUCGGUCAAGGUAUCAUAAAGGAUGAUGAGUGAUGGACUAGAUUCAGAUAUAAGCUGUACACAGUCAACAGUCAACACAUACCAAGUAUGAUUAAAAUUGAAGAGAAACUUUAGAUGUCUUGAUGGAACAAGCACAAUGCCAUGUUCAUAUCUGUUCCAUCAGCGCUAAAUAAAGGUUGAUAGUCUCACGGGGUGAUGUUUGUUAUAAUGUGUGCAUAUGUUUAGAAAACUUUGGAAUUAGUAUUGUAGUUGCUGCAUGGUGGCAUCAGAGUUGCUAAAAAAUGAAGGCAUAGUGCACGAAGUUGUAGUUUGAGUUGGUGCUUGUAGUUUUUUUCUCAUGCAAAGUUGAUGCUGCAAUGGAUUUUCUAUGACAUAAUUUUGAUGGAUUUUUGUAUCAUGCUAACAAUGUUUCCUGUGCAAUUGAAUGACUUUUUUUUGCUAGCAGUAUAUUGUUUUGUUCGCCAAUUAUCUCAUAUAUUUGCUUCAUAGGGGUAAAGCACGGUAUGCUCGGCCAGAAGAAAUGCCCAACAAGAUCAAGGGCCUCAAGGGCAGGGUAAGGCGGGACAAACAGGGAAGCAAGGAUAGCUAUUAAAUAGUUUUUGCAGCAAAUUAAACGGGGAAGGAAGGAUAGCGGGACAAACGGGGUUGCAAACGAGGGAGAGGGGCGGAUUUUGUACUACGGCGAGUGGCUUCUCUUGCGAUCGUCAUGGCUGAUAUGGGGAUUGAAGGGGGUGGCUAGCGUUGGAUUCAUAGGGAAACUUUUCACUCUAGGGGCAGAGCAGUUGCUUGGAUUUUUGCUAUAAGAGUUGCAGUUGCUUAGUUUUGUUGGGGCAGUUCCUUGGAUUUAUUUUGAAUAGUUUUUGCAUUUGUGGUUUUUGUAAUGCAGUUGCUUGGUUUUGCUAGCGCAAUUGCUUGGAUUUUUUUCUAGAACUGUUUUGCAUUUUGUGUUUUUUUGUAAUUGCAUUGCUUGGUUAUUGCUAGAACAGAGAAGACACCCGGAGGGGAGGGGGUGGGUGUUAGAUAGUUAUCAAUAUCAUACAUUUUUCCUCUGCGUAAAGUAGAUAAUCUAAGUAGUAAUGCUACCACGGUUGCUUGGUUUUGCUAGGACAGUUGCUUGGAUUUGUGCCAGAACAGUUUUGCAUCUGUGUUUUUGCUAGGUGGAGGGCGGCAAGGUGUGUGAUAGGGCGUGUAGCGGGAAGAUGAAGGUGGUGGGCGGCGAGGCAAGAGAGAGGAAGCGUGUGGGGGUGGACGAAGGUGGAGGGCACUGCCCAAGUUAUGAUUGGAGUUGCACAAUAUGUCGGAAGGAGUUGCAUAGGAGUGGAUCGGAAGUGGCUCAUUUUUCCUUUUUUGUUUGUCGAGUGGAUUUGCCCAAUAUUUUUUAUAAGUAUUUAGGUGCUCUUCUUGAUUGGAUAGGUUGGUUCGGACUAGUGUUCUUUUUGCCCUGCUAUUCUUGGUUGCAUAUGUUAGUUAAGACUUUCCUUUGGAUCCUGCACAUGGCCACAUAGGUCUUCCAUUUGUUUUUUGCCUGCGGUCUUCGGCUGCAUUUGAUGAAUACGUAGAACAUCAUGUGAUUUCAGAAAAAACUAUCACACAACAAAAGCAACAAAAACCACGGAAAAAGAUACCAUAGUUGCCCUACGUAGUUUGCAUAUUUUUUAUGCACAAUGCAUGAAAGAUAACAUAGUUGCACACAAUUAAUCAUACAGUUGCCUAAAACCAUGUAUCUCAUUGCCCAAUCCUCAUGAACAGAAACAUUACCAAAACCACGAUUUUAUCAAUAUCUAAAGGUUUUAGAUACCUCUCAAUUAAUUUUGUGUCAUAGUUGUGUGUCAAGAAUUUCUUCUGCUCUGGUGGGAUCCCUUGAUAUGAUCUUAAACAUUUGACGAAUGAUCAUAGAGGGUGGCGGGGUGGAGCUGAUCAUGGG